ACCAUGUUCCCCUAGUCCUUGACGCGGGUAUCCUUGCUCUCGCCUCGUCUUCUCACUUCCAAUUUGAUGCCUCUUGGCUGGUGGUUGAGGGCUUUUGUGAUAUGUGGGUUCUAAGAUGUCUANNNNNNNNNNNNNNNNNNNNNNNNNNNNNNNNNNNNNNNNNNNNNNNNNNNNNNNNNNNNNNNNNNNNNNNNNNNNNNNNNNNNNNNNNNNNNNNNNNNNCCCCCCCUACGCCUCUCCUCGCCCGUUCCCCGCCAUGGCCGAAGCCUCCAUGGACACGCUGCCGUAACCCCGCACCCACAGCCACUGCCCCACCUCUCCGACGUGAUCCCGAGCUCCGCCCCGACGUCGUCGUCCUCUCCAUCGAGUCACGCGGCGCCAGAAGCUCUGCUGCAUCUCCAACGCCAUCGUUUCCGACCUCGGGUGCCGGUGAUCCCCGCCGUCGAUUCGCCGGACCCCGUGCCUCCCCUGCCUCGCCAGCAGCACCAGAAGAACCGUGGUGAGCCGCUGCAUCGUUUCCCCCAUGCCUCGUUGUCUAAUUCGCCCCCUAGCCACAUCAACCACCGGAGCCGAGAGCUCUUCGCCGCCGGCCAUGUCGCCGCCGUAGCCACGGUUGCCUAGAACUGCAACCGAGCACGCAGCCGUGCUCAGUGCACCCCCAGGAGGCCAUAGCACCCAUCCGCACCCUCUGCUGCGCUCCCUAACGCCGACUCCGAGCUCACCCGAGCUCCGGCCGCCGCCUCGCUCGCCGUCGGCACCGAUUCCGGCCGCCCCGAGCGCAACUGACUCCACCAGGAGCUUCGGCUCGUCCCCAGCUCCUCCUAGAUGCCCUCAGCGGCCCAUUUGGUCGCUGGAGUGGCCAAAACCACUCUCGCCGCCGCGCUAAUGGUCGCCGCCGGCCAGAACUCCGGCGGGCUGACGUGGCUUAGUUAAUUAGCCACUAACCCCCCCACCUACUGACGCUGACAAGUGGGCCCCAGGGCUUAGUCAAAGCUAACCAGCCCAGGUUUGACUCGGGGUUAACCCCCUGUCACUGACGUGUGGGUCCCACACGUCAGGUUUGACCCUGGACAGCUCGGUUGACCCUGCUGACGUCACUAUUACGUCAUGCUGACGCAGUAUUUGUUCUGGAAUUUAAAUAAAUCCUAAAUGAUUUAUAAAUUUCAGAAAAUGCCUAAAACUUCAAUAAAUCAUAGAAAAUUAACCGUAACUCCAAAUUAAAUAAAUUAUAUAUGAAAAAUUAUCAGAAAAAUUCAAGGAAUCCAUCUGUACCAUUUUCAUGCAUGUUAGAACAACUUAUCACUACUGUUUAGGGCAAAUGAAGUAAAUGGCAUUUGAAUAAUCACAUAUGGAGUUUGAAUUUGAAUCUUGUAUUCAAACCAACUUCAUUUAAUCUGUUGCUAGUUGCAUUAGCUCAAACACAUUCAUUUUGCCAUGUCAUGAUCAUGCAUCAUAUUGUGCAUUGCAUUGAUUGUGUUCCCUUCUGUGUUGCCGGUAUUUGUUCCCUCUCGAUAGACGUGAUACCGAUGAUGUGAUCGUUGACACUGAUGAAGACUCAAUGUUAUCUUCAGAAGUGCCAGGCAAGCAAAACCCCCUUGUUCAUUCCGAUACAAUCCUACUCUCUCGCUCCUGCUCUCUUUUAAUGCAUUAGGACAACACCGAUUCAUCUGUUACUUGCUGCGGUAGUUGAACCCCUUUAUCCUUUGCAUGACCUGUCAUUGCCACAGUAAUUAGAUGAAACCCACUAGCAUGAGUAGGAGUUGUUUGAGCCCUGAUGUGCCUACUCAUUCAUGCUUGUUUGUCAUGCCUGCUACUGCUUAGAGUUGAGUCAGGUCUGAUUCAUCGGGGAUGAAUCAGAGGCGUGUGAACAUGUCCUACUGUGUGUGAGCUAAGUGUGUGAACACGAUUUGGUAAAGGUAGCGGUGAGAGGCCAUGUAGGAGUACAUGGUGGGUUGUCUCAUUGUAGCCGUCCUCAGGAACUGAGUUCUGUGUUUGUGAUCCAUGAUUCAGCUACUACCAUACAUUGGGCCCUGAAAUAUGACCCCGCUCGACUUCUUAAUCACCCUUGUCCUCUGUCCAGGAGUUGCAAGUAGUUUCUGGUGUUUGUAGUAUGCUGGAGGCCGUGGACAGCGCUGACCGUAGGGGUGGGCUGUGAUGCGGUAGGCACGUGGCCGGGUAAACCGGGCGCCCGUUUGGUGUCACGGAACCCUGUUCACAUCGUUUGGGGCUGUGAGCGAAACUCCGGCCGGAUCUCCUCAUGGAUGGAACCCGAAUAGGCGAUAAACCUGGACUAGAGACUUGAGUNNNNNNNNNNNNNNNNNNNNNNNNNNNNNNNNNNNNNNNNNNNNNNNNNNNNNNNNNNNNNNNNNNNNNNNNNNNNNNNNNNNNNNNNNNNNNNNNNNNNAGGCCGUUGAUGCUCUGCUUUUACACGACGACAGACGUCGCAAUUAGCAAUAUACUGAGCGAUUUCUCUCUUCAUCCUAGUCCACCAGAACCUCUGGCGUAGGUCCUGAUACAUUUUUGUGCUACCGGGAUGAAUGGUGAGAGGAGAUUCAUGAGCUUCCUUAAGGAUUAAUCGCCUUAGGUUGCGCACCUUGGGAACCACUAGUCGAUCCCCGAAGUAUACGACUCCUUGAUCAUUAACAGAGAAACAAUUCGCAAUUCCUUUCUGAAUGUUUCUCUUGAUGCGGGAGAUUCCCGGAUCUACCUUCUGUGCUUUGAUAAUUUGAUCCGUAAGGGUAGGUUUUGCCACCAAGGUGGAGAGAAAACCUUGAGGUACAAUGUGAAGGUUAAGCUUCCGAAAUUCCUCAUGGAGAAGCGGUUGACUUUGUUGUAACAUCAGGUUGUUACAAUAAGACUUACGACUUAGCGCAUCAGCCAUGACGUUGGCUUUCCCUGGGGUGUAGGUUAUUCCUAAGUCGAAGUCUGUGAUCAAUUCAACCCAACGUCUUUGCCUAAGAUUCAGAUCCGGUUGGGUGAAGAUGUACUUCAGACUUUGGUGAUCAGUGAAUAUUUCGCAACGAUUACCGAGGAGGUAAUGUCGCCAGGUCUUAAGUGCAUAGACUACGGCUGCAAGUUCUAGAUCAUGAGUAGGAUAAUUCUCCUCAUGUGGGUGUAAUUGCCGUGAAGCGUAAGCAAUUACGUGUCGAUCUUGCAUGAGAAUGCAACCUAGCCCUUGUCGUGAGGCGUCGCAGUAGAUAACAAAGUCCUUGGAGAAGUCUGGCGGUACCAGUACAGGAGCAGAGGUCAGGCGUCUUUUCAGUUCCUGAAAGCUGUGCUCACAUUGUGGAGUCCAUUCGAACCUUUUAUCUUUCUUGAGGAGUUCGGUUAGAGGUUUAGCAACUUUGGAGAAGUUCUCGACAAAGCGACGGCAAUAGCUCGCUAAGCCCAGAAAACUCCGAACUUGCUUGACCGAUUCGGGUGGAGUCCAGUUAAGGACGGCUUGAACUCGCUCAGGGUUAACAGCAAUACCUUUACCAGAUAUUACAUGACCCAGAUAGGUCACUUCUGACAACCAGAAUUCACAUUUCGAAAAUUUGGCAUAAAGGCGAUGCUCUCGAAGUUUCUUCAACACUAGCCUUAGAUGUUCGGCAUGUUCUUCCUCGUUCUUGGAGUAGAUGAGUAUAUCAUCGAGAUAAACUACGACGAAUUUAUCCAAAUACUCCAUGAAGAUUGAGUUCAUUAACCGAGAAAAGGUGGCUGGAGCGUUGGUUAAACCGAAGGACAUGACGGUGUACUCGUGUUGGCCAUAGCGAGUAACAAAGGCCGUUUUAGGAAUGUCCCCGUUUCUGAUUUUGAUUUGAUGGUAGCCCAACCUCAAAUCCAUCUUGGAGAAGACUGAGGAUCCAGCGAGCUGAUCAUAUAGAUCGUUGAUCCUGGGAAGCGGGUAUUUGUUCUUGAUUGUGACCAAGUUGACCGGCCGGUAAUCUACAACCAUUCGGUCCGUACCAUCCUUUUUCUUAACGAAUAGGACGGGGCAAGCCCACGGAGAUGAACUAGGGCGGAUGAAACCCUUUUUCAAGGAUUCAUCGAGUUGUUUCUUAAGCUCGGCUAGUUCUAGGGGUGCCAUCUUAUAGGGUCUUCUAGCAAUCGGAACGGUUCCGGGGAUGAGGUCUAUUACGAACUCAACAUCCCUGUCAGGUGGAACACCUGGCAAUUCCUCUGGAAAGACAUCCGGAAAGUCACGGACUACCGGAACGUCCUCAAGGUCUGGCAAAGGGCUGGCGUUAAGAGAAUAUAGUUGUCGCUUGGCUAUUCGGGUCAAGACGUUGACUAUCUUUCCCGAAGGGUGGGUGAGUUGAACAGUCCUAGAGAAGCAAUCAAUUUUGGCUUGAUGAGCUGACAUCCAGUCCAUACCCAAAAUGAUAUUAAUAUCUGAAGAUUUAAGGGCUAUCAAAGAUGCGAGAAAAACAAGUCUGUCGACUUGGAUUUCAUUUCCAUGGCUUACUCUAGAAGUUUGCCAUUUGGAUCCCGGAGUUUGAAUUACNNNNNNNNNNNNNNNNNNNNNNNNNNNNNNNNNNNNNNNNNNNNNNNNNNNNNNNNNNNNNNNNNNNNNNNNNNNNNNNNNNNNNNNNNNNNNNNNNNNNCCUGGGUCACGAAGAGGCCAGGACCCCGAUUCCCAAAGCUACUCAAUGAAUUCUCAGUUGGAUUUCUUUGGUUACUUGCAUCAUAUAAAUUGUCCCAAGGGCCAAAACCAAUGGAGGCAAAGCCGGGCGCGACUAUGUCUCAAUUCAGCGAGUCCUGGAUUCAGACUCGCUGAAGGGUGAGCGAGCUGGGCCGGCCCACUAGUGCGGGAAGCCACAACCUCUUUCUUCUGUUUUUUAUGUUUUAUGCUUUAUGUUUUCCCUUUUUGUUUAUACUUUAAAAUUUUAUAUUACAAAAAAACUCUUCAAAAAACAUAUGAAAUAUGUUGAACAAGUAUUUGAAAAAUAUUGAACAACUAUUUGAAAAACAUUGAUCAUGUAUAUAAAAGUAUUGAACAAGUAUUUGAAAAAUGUAGAACAAGUAUUUGAACAAGUAUUUAAAAAAUAUUGAUCAUGUAUAUAAAAAUGUUUAACAAGUAUAUGAAUUUUUUUGAACAAAUAUUUAAAAAAUGUUGAGAAAGUAUUUGUAAAAUUGUUGAACAAGUAUUCUAAAAAAUGUUGAUCAUAUAUAUAUAAAUGUUGAGCAUUUAUUUAAGAAAUGUUGAAUAAGUAUUUAAAAAAAUGUUAAACAAGUAUUUUAAAAAACGUUGAUCAUUUAUAUAUAAAUGUUGAACAUGUAUUUGAAAAAUGUUGAACAAGAAUUUAAAAAAUAUUGAUCAUGUAUAUAAGAAUGUAGAAUGAAAAACAAAAAGAAUGAAAACAAAAAAUAAACAAAAUAAACCAAAGGAAAAGAAAAUGAAAAAGUGAAUAAACAAAUAAAAACCCGGAGAAGAAAUAAAAACAAAAGAACAUGAAAAAAUGGAGAAAACCCGGCUCCUUUUAUCUAUAAGUAGGGCGUGCCCUAGCUUUUAUCACGAACAAUGUGCUAACCUGGUGGAUAGCUUCGCUACUCCUCAUCGAGGAGACCCAGGUUCAUAUCAUGGGUCGAUCCCUCUGCUCGCUCCCUUCCUUUGUCCCGUAGUAGGAAGCCAGGAACGCAAGAGUAGCAGCCUGCAGCCUGGCCUUCCAUCCUGGUAAAAAUAUCCUAUAAGACCGGGUCAUAUCGUUUCAAUCGGAAGAACCACUCAACUGAGCGCCACUUGGCUGCGCGCAUCUUGACGCAACAAGGUAACUUCUUACCCGAUUCCCUUUGCCAAAUCUCGAUUCUCACCUUGCUGAGCCAAGUUCGUUCCCAACGGCAAAGUCAUCGCGAGAAGAUGGCAGCGACCAACCAGUAAACUCCAUUGGCGUACGUCUGGCCUAACUAGAUUGAUUUUCUUAGACUGCACCGGUACCGAGACAAGUGAGAGGGCUCACGACGACGGCAAGCAGUGGAGUUACGCCGACGGUGAGUAUUGGAGUUACGCCGGCGGCGAGCAGCGGACUUGCUUGGCGCGAGGAGCCUGCCCUCAGCCGGCGGGGCGUAGCAGUGUGAUUGUGCCGACGUCAAAGAGUUUUGCCGCUACCAAUGGAACAAGUAGCCUGGACGCACAACGUGAGCAGAGGAAAAUCACGCCGGCGGCGAGAAGUUUGGCUCCGUCGAGAGUGGCGGAGCUAGCACCAACGGUAGGUCUGGGAUGAUAUGGGACUGGCCACCACGUUCGGUUUCAUCGCAAGGCACUGGGGAAGAAGGUACGCCCGCAAAGUCUUUACUCCCAGCAAGUUUCAGAUCUCUGGGAGAUUACUCCGUAUAUUAUAUAUAAAGCGUUAUUAUGGAAAAGGCCGGCUGGUUUCAGAUUUGGUUUGCAGGGGCUCCAAUGAGCUUUUUUAAUAAAUUUUUGUGGGUUUUUUUCUGAAAGUUUUCUGAACACUUAGUAUAAGAUUUGUAAUUUUUUUCUCAUCUUCUCUCUCUUUCAUGACAUUUAUUGCAUCUGCUUAGGAGUACGCAUAUAGCUAGACUCUUGUAUGAGAGCUCACUCCCAUUAAUUUUUUAGUCUGUUCUUUACAUAGACAAAACUGCGAUGUAAACUGGGUAUAAGUCUGCUAUUGUACUUGCUUAAAAAAACACAUUCACAUGCAUGUCCCUCAAAACAAAAUACAACUUCCNNNNNNNNNNNNNNNNNNNNNNNNNNNNNNNNNNNNNNNNNNNNNNNNNNNNNNNNNNNNNNNNNNNNNNNNNNNNNNNNNNNNNNNNNNNNNNNNNNNNUUAAAGAAAAAUACCAAUUGAACUCCAAAUUAAAUAAAACAAAUUUUCCCCGACUCCUAAAAAUGAGUCGAACAAAAUGAACUUUAAAAAUGGCAAACAUGCAUAAAUUUUUAAAAUGCUCAUUUUUUUUUUGCCUAAGCAAAAUAAAUCUUCCAAAACCAAAUCUUGAUUUAUUUAUAAUAUCUUCAUUUUUCCUAAAUAUUGGGAAAGUCAUAUUAUUCCCUCUCUUAAAAUUUUUUUUAUAGGAAAAAUUUUAUGAAGAUAAUUAAAUAAAUCCAAAUGAUCCUAUUUUCAAAAUUUGAGAAAUCCCAAAUAUGAAAAUAAUGAAACUUCCAACUCUCUCCGAGGGUCCUUGAGUUGCGUGAAAUUUUCUAGGAUCGGAAAAUGCGAGAAAAAUAUGAUAUGCAUGAUGAUCUAAUGUAAUACAUUCCAAAUUGAAAAUUUGGGAUGUUACAGCACACUCAAAACGGAGCAACUGUUCAACACAUACUCCAUACAAGUUUAAAGGACAAGCUGUCCAAAACAGCAACUAGGCAUAUUGCAAGCAUCAAAACAAUAUGCUACAGCAUCUCAACAUGAAAACAAAAGAUAUGGGCAUGAUGUACAGGUAAAGCAUAACAAAACAUGAACACUGAUCUAUCUCCAGAAAUCACUAGAACAUGCUCAAACCCACAUGGCAAGAUUGCAAAUAAUAACAGUUCAGACUUUGCAGAAAAUAAUAUCAGGUUGCAAUGUUUAGAGCUAUCAAACAACAUGUUGUAGGGACUUAUCAUGGCAAACAAAGGCAUUGCAUGGUACUACUAAAUGCAUAGAACAAAAGUCCCUUACUGACCAUGAGCCAAAAAGGAUCAGAAGAAAUGAUGGCACCCAUGUAAACAUGGCAAGUUAUAAUACAGAUUCAUACAUGGCAGGAACAGAAUUAUGAAGGCAUGUUGAUGAGCUUGUACCACUCACCACAGAGCAAUACAUGGCAUGGAAAGGCAACCAACAGUAAGAAGACAUGUUUGUGAAGCUAAGCAAGUCAAGAACAAGUUCAUAGCAUGCAAGGAUCAACUACAACAACCUUGGCAAAAUUGAAUAACAUGUAAACAAUCUGCCAGGAAACAUUUUGUAGAAAAAGUAGAGCACGAAAAUGACAUUCUAGACUACUCCAUAAUUGCAAACAGGGGCAUGAAUGGAUAGAUCAUAACCAUAUUUUCAAAACACCCUUACUGAAGUAUCUCAAAAUAUGCAUGGAUCUCUCUGUAGCAUCAUGUUUACAUGGCAUCAAAAUAACAGCAGAACAGGGACUAAAAUCAGCAACAUUACGAAGCCUAGUUUGCAUGCUUGUGCUAGUCACCACAUUGAUCACAAAAAUACAUGGCAUACACCUCUAUAAAGAAGACAUGGCAUAGAUCAAAACACAUGUACACAUCAACCUCAUAGGAUGCACACAUCAAUCAUGGCAAAAAUGACAAAAGAACUAGUUCUGUUAAUAGACAGUAGACAACAUUAUGAAGCACUCUUCAAACGAUGAUUCAGGCAUCAAGAUGAGCUCAAAUGAACAUGAUGUAAUGGAAUGAAAUGAUGUACUCGUUGAUACGAACAAUUUGACAUAUUACACGCACAAAACGGAGCAGUAUGCAUGAAGAUAUGAUGCGAUGAACAUGGCAUGAUAAUGUCAAAAUAUUUUGGGACUUGGUCAUUUUUCAGGAAAAAACGGAGUGGGCGCAGAUUAGCUAAAAAUCGCACGGGCAGGGUUUACUGGGCUCUCACCAUGGGCCAAGCCCAGAAGGAAGGAGAGGCCGGCCGGCUUGGAGGUGGGCUGGGCCGGAAGAGGCCGUGGCCCACGCGGGCGACUGGGGGCGUCGUCCUCCCGACGCGGGACGAGGCCGGCGGCGCGGGACGACGACGUUCAAACUCCGGUGAACGGAGCGACGGAGCGGCGAGGACUCAGGGAAAUGGGCGGAUCCGGAGGUGGGGGUUCCAGAUCCGAGCUCGACGGCGACCUGCGGAGCUCCACAGAGCGGCAUCGGCGAGUUCCUUCGGCGGCGGGGGCUGCUGUCCAGGAGAGAGAGAGAGAGAGAGAGAGAGAGAGAGAGNNNNNNNNNNNNNNNNNNNNNNNNNNNNNNNNNNNNNNNNNNNNNNNNNNNNNNNNNNNNNNNNNNNNNNNNNNNNNNNNNNNNNNNNNNNNNNNNNNNNAAGACGCUGGACGGCGCCAAGAAACGGGAGGUGGACUUGAAGAAGGAUAUCAAGGCCAACGAGGCGCUGCUGGCGAGGGCCGCUGAAACUCAGAAUCUCCUCAGAGAUACUGUGGAGCUCUGGACGGAGGGCCUCGUGAACAUUGCUGCAGUCAUCGAAGAGGAGCUGGUGCAACUGGGGGUGGAGGGCUUCGGGUACUCCCCCGACGAGAACCUCCAACCUAGCGUCAAGCUCACUCUGUUCUUCGAAGGCGUGGCGACGGCCCUCCAGCAACUCCGGGAAAGGAUCCCAAAGCAGCUGGCCGACGAGUCGCGCACGAUCUGUGCUGGAGUUCUGGAGAAGGUGCUGGUGAAGGUGGCCUUCCGCAAUCCAGGCCUCAACCUCACCAACGUCCUCAAGAGGCUGCCAGCGGACGCUGAUCUUGACUCACUCAAGGCCCUUGUCGCACCCAUUGUGGAUAGGGUGAACGAGGUCAAAAGGGUUGAUGGCGGUCGCGUUGAUUAGGCCGCUCGUUUUCUUCUUUGCUUGCCGCUGCUAGUCAUGUCAUGAAAACACUUUAUUAGAGCCGCGACAAGUUAUCUUUGUAAUAUAACUCUAUCUUAGGUAAUGAUUGCUAUGUUACUUCCUUUACUUGACUCUUGGCUUUGUAUGUUUCUGCCCUACGCUUUUUAGGGAAACUUGCCGGGGCAGGCACCCUUGCCGCGAGCGCUGAGUGCGGGACUUCAGCAGACUGCUGGCGGUGUCGCUACCGACAAGUAACCUUGCCGCAACUAGUCGCGGCUCACUUAAGUUGUUGAGCGGACUCGAAACAAAGUAAGGGCGCAACUAGCUGUGAGUUGGUUCCUUCGCGCAUAGGUUUUCCAUACAAAGCACGGUCGUUCAAGGAAAAUAACUUAAAAUUUAAAAACUGAUUGCUCAAACUUUGGCAACUUAGCUUUUCUGCCGUUUGCUUCCCGUCAAGGCGAAACUUUCUUGAACGGUCCGGUCCACACCAUUAUCCUCCAGGGUGGAUUAGAUCAGAUGCAAGACAAGAAUAGCAAGUUGAAGAACUACAAGAACAACAAGGGAAUCUUACUCUUCUUCUUCCUCCUCGUCGGAGCUGAGCGCGGAGAGGUCGAAGUUCGGCCCACCUCCGGCGCGACGAGGUGGAGGGGUGGGAUCCCUUGGCCGCUUGGCGGGGACUGCGGCGUUAGCCCGAGAUGACCCCGCUCCAGUUGCCACCGCGGCGGGAGGCGCUCCCCCGGCAACCGUGCUUGCUGCGGCGGAGCACGUCGCGCGGCGCUGCGGCUGUUGGCCCACUUGCCGCCCUGCUGCGUCCCCGGUCCUGCGGAGGCGCCUUCUUGGCUGCGCUGGGGGCUGCGCUACGGGCCCUGCUUGCGUCAAGCUGCUCGGAGAUGGCGGACCGCUCGCACCCUCGGCGGGCUCGCUCGACUCGGCGUCAGGCGCGGUGAGCCCUUCUUCGUCUUUAGGCCACUCCCAUUCGGCAAGGCUCGUCGCCAAUGCUGCGUCUGCUUCCUCCACUGUGAACCCGAACUCACCCGUGGCUGCGGCUGCCGCCGCCUCUUCCGCCCUGGUGGCGAUGCGUUCCAUCUCUUGAUCGGUGGUGUCGCGGGUGAGGAGCUUCUUUUCGUCAGCAUUGACCGCCACUUCCACUAGGCCGUCAAAGAACUGCUGCACGACAUCGUCGGUAGGUUCCUGCCAAGUUGGAAUGAUCCCGUGCGAAUCGCACAACGGCAUCAUCGCGCAGAUGCGGUCGCGCGAGGAGUUGUUGCACAGAGGAACGACGCCUGCCGGCAACCUGAACCACUCGGGAUGCUGUGGGUCGUGCUUGAAUAUCUCCUUGAGUAUCCCAUCCAACUCUAGGACGGUGAAAUUGAAAUUGAGGCCCGGGCGCAGCCUCAUGAUAUCUGCCGGGCCUCCAAAUUCCCAGGUGAAUCUCCCCCUCGCCUGCAGAGGGGCGAUGCGGCGGCGAAGGAAAUCUGCGCCGACAGCGCCUACAGGCAGCCCGGCAAGCCUGAGACGCAAGAUCCGGGUGGUGGCGAUCUUCAGCUUGUCGUCGUCCACGGACAGGGCGCUCCAAUNNNNNNNNNNNNNNNNNNNNNNNNNNNNNNNNNNNNNNNNNNNNNNNNNNNNNNNNNNNNNNNNNNNNNNNNNNNNNNNNNNNNNNNNNNNNNNNNNNNNAAGACGCUGGACGGCGCCAAGAAACGGGAGGUGGACUUGAAGAAGGAUAUCAAGGCCAACGAGGCGCUGCUGGCGAGGGCCGCUGAAACUCAGAAUCUCCUCAGAGAUACUGUGGAGCUCUGGACGGAGGGCCUCGUGAACAUUGCUGCAGUCAUCGAAGAGGAGCUGGUGCAACUGGGGGUGGAGGGCUUCGGGUACUCCCCCGACGAGAACCUCCAACCUAGCGUCAAGCUCACUCUGUUCUUCGAAGGCGUGGCGACGGCCCUCCAGCAACUCCGGGAAAGGAUCCCAAAGCAGCUGGCCGACGAGUCGCGCACGAUCUGUGCUGGAGUUCUGGAGAAGGUGCUGGUGAAGGUGGCCUUCCGCAAUCCAGGCCUCAACCUCACCAACGUCCUCAAGAGGCUGCCAGCGGACGCUGAUCUUGACUCACUCAAGGCCCUUGUCGCACCCAUUGUGGAUAGGGUGAACGAGGUCAAAAGGGUUGAUGGCGGUCGCGUUGAUUAGGCCGCUCGUUUUCUUCUUUGCUUGCCGCUGCUAGUCAUGUCAUGAAAACACUUUAUUAGAGCCGCGACAAGUUAUCUUUGUAAUAUAACUCUAUCUUAGGUAAUGAUUGCUAUGUUACUUCCUUUACUUGACUCUUGGCUUUGUAUGUUUCUGCCCUACGCUUUUUAGGGAAACUUGCCGGGGCAGGCACCCUUGCCGCGAGCGCUGAGUGCGGGACUUCAGCAGACUGCUGGCGGUGUCGCUACCGACAAGUAACCUUGCCGCAACUAGUCGCGGCUCACUUAAGUUGUUGAGCGGACUCGAAACAAAGUAAGGGCGCAACUAGCUGUGAGUUGGUUCCUUCGCGCAUAGGUUUUCCAUACAAAGCACGGUCGUUCAAGGAAAAUAACUUAAAAUUUAAAAACUGAUUGCUCAAACUUUGGCAACUUAGCUUUUCUGUCGUUUGCUUCCCGUCAAGGCGAAACUUUCUUGAACGGUCCGGUCCACACCAUUAUCGUCCAGGGUGGAUUAGAUCAGAUGCAAGACAAGAAUAGCAAGUUGAAGAACUACAAGAACAACAAGGGAAUCUUACUCUUCUUCUUCCUCCUCGUCGGAGCUGAGCGCGGAGAGGUCGAAGUUCGGCCCACCUCCGGCGCGACGAGGUGGAGGGGUGGGAUCCCUUGGCCGCUUGGCGGGGACUGCGGCGUUAGCCCGAGAUGACCCCGCUCCAGUUGCCACCGCGGCGGGAGGCGCUCCCCCGGCAACCGUGCUUGCUGCGGCGGAGCACGUCGCGCGGCGCUGCGGCUGUUGGCCCACUUGCCACCCUGCUGCGUCCCCGGUCCUGCGGAGGCGCCUUCUUGGCUGCGCUGGGGGCUGCGCUACGGGCCCUGCUUGCGUCAAGCUGCUCGGAGAUGGCGGACCGCUCGCACCCUCGGCGGGCUCGCUCGACUCGGCGUCAGGCGCGGUGAGCCCUUCUUCGUCUUUAGGCCACUCCCAUUCGGCAAGGCUCGUCGCCAAUGCUGCGUCUGCUUCCUCCACUGUGAACCCGAACUCACCCGUGGCUGCGGCUGCCGCCGCCUCUUCCGCCCUGGUGGCGAUGCGUUCCAUCUCUUGAUCGGUGGUGUCGCGGGUGAGGAGCUUCUUUUCGUCAGCAUUGACCGCCACUUCCACUAGGCCGUCAAAGAACUGCUGCACGACAUCGUCGGUAGGUUCCUGCCAAGUUGGAAUGAUCCCGUGCGAAUCGCACAACGGCAUCAUCGCGCAGAUGCGGUCGCGCGAGGAGUUGUUGCACAGAGGAACGACGCCUGCCGGCAACCUGAACCACUCGGGAUGCUGUGGGUCGUGCUUGAAUAUCUCCUUGAGUAUCCCAUCCAACUCUAGGACGGUGAAAUUGAAAUUGAGGCCCGGGCGCAGCCUCAUGAUAUCUGCCGGGCCUCCAAAUUCCCAGGUGAAUCUCCCCCUCGCCUGCAGAGGGGCGAUGCGGCGGCGAAGGAAAUCUGCGCCGACAGCGCCUACAGGCAGCCCGGCAAGCCUGAGACGCAAGAUCCGGGUGGUGGCGAUCUUCAGCUUGUCGUCGUCCACGGACAGGGCGCUCCAAUNNNNNNNNNNNNNNNNNNNNNNNNNNNNNNNNNNNNNNNNNNNNNNNNNNNNNNNNNNNNNNNNNNNNNNNNNNNNNNNNNNNNNNNNNNNNNNNNNNNNUAAAAAUAUGAUAGCCAGAAUUUUUUUCGAAAAAUGCGUUUUCGAAAAUUUUUGGGCCUAAACGGAGCGUGGCCACCAUAUAUCCACCACGAAUCCGAGUUCCUUGCUUAUUAGGUUUGUUUUCGGAAUCCAUCUAGAUUCCGAUUCGUGUUUCCUUGCCGGAGUAGGAACACGCUGUGCUCGUCCAUACUGAUUCGGAAGGGGGCGUAGUUGUUGUUGUUGCAGAGGUGCGACAGGUGCAGCUGGUGGUGGAAGACGCGCAAGCAGUUCAUUAAAUCUGUUAUCGAGCUUUGUUUCGAACGUCUUCUCAAGGCCAGUGAUCUUCUCCAUGGCCUCUUCAAAAUUGUUCAGCACAUCUUGUACCUGUUCAGUCAUGAUUUGCUGAAACUUAUCAUGAAGCUCCUUGUUCGAUAAGUUCUCUCAGUCAAUCUCGUCGGCUUGUGAUCCUGGCAUGGUUAGCAGCAAUAGAAACACAUAAGAAUAUGAUCCUACAGACUACUAAGAAGUGGUGGUGGUGUAUCACAAAUCCGUCAAGCAAAUCUCAAAUUCUUACCAGUUCUUACCCAGCAGCAGGUGGUGAUCGGCAACCGUUGUAGUCAAAAACUCUCAAAGCUUGGAUAGAGCGAUUACCAGGGAGAGUCAAACACACGACGUAGAUGUAUGUGGAGCUGGGAAGGCUUAUAGUAUGGUAGCAAAAAGGGUCAGCAAUAAUCAAUUCAGAGAUGCAAAGUUGAAUAAACGCUCAACGACGGUACUGUGCUGGUCCUAGGCUAGACUGUGCUAGAGACGCGAGCCUAGAACACCAACAAAAUCAUGGCGCGGCACGUAAACAAGGGAAAAGCACACUCUGAAUUUCUUUUUCGCUCUUUUUUUGCGCUCUUUUUUUUUGCGCUGCUUUUUUUUUGCGAAAAAUCACUAUAAUGGCGAGUGUCUCAAAACUCUUCCUAGCUCAAACGGACAGGAUGGGCACGAAAUUUUUUCGACCAAUUUUUUUUUUCGACUGCCCGGACCCAAAAACUGGAAACGGGUCAAAAAAAACUUCCUAUAAUGGCACCUGUCUCAAAACACUCAGAAACACCUAAAAAUAGGAUAGCCAGAAAUUUCUUCGAAAAAUGCGUUUUCGAAUUUUUUUUUUCCGAAACCUACUCCGGCAAGGAAACACGAAUCGGAAUCUAGAUGGAUUCCGAAAACAAACCUAAUAAGCAAGGAACUCGGAUUGGUGGUGGAUAUAUGGUGGCCACGCUCCGUUUAGGCCCAAAAAUUUUCGAAAACGCAUUUUUCNNNNNNNNNNGAGUCGGGUAGCCACGCUCCGUUUAGGCCCAAAAUUUUUCGAAAACGCAUUUUUCGAAAAAAUUUCUGGCUAUCCUAUUUUUAGGUGUUUCUGAGUGUUUUGAGACAGGUGCCAUUAUAGGAAGUUUUUUUUGACCCGUUUCCAGUUUUUGGGUCCGGGCAGUCAAAAAAAAAAAUUGGUCGAAAAAAUUUCGUGCCCAUCCUGUCAGUUUGAGCUAAGAAGAGUUUUGAGACACUCGCCAUUAUAGUGAUUUUUUUCGCAAAAAAAAAAAGCAGCGCAAAAAAAAAGAGAGAGCGCAAAAAAAAAAGAGCGAAAAAAAAAAUUCCAGAGUGUGCUUUUCCCUUGUUUAUGUGCCGCGCCGUGAUUUUGUUAGUGUUCUAGGCUCGCGUCUCUAGCACAGUCUAGCCUAGGACCAGCACAGUACCGUCGUUGAGCGUUUAUUCAACUUUGCAUCUCUGAAUUGAUUAUUGCUGACCCUUUUUGCUACCAUAUUAUAAGCCUUCCCAGCUCCACAUACAUCUACGUCGUGCGUUUGACUCUCCCUGGUAAUCGCUCUAUCCAAGCUUUGAGAGUUUUUGACUACAACGGUUGCCGAUCACCGCCUGCUGCUGGGUAAGAACUGGUAAGAAUUUGAGAUUUGCUUGACGGAUUUGUGACACCCACCACCACCACUUGUUCGUAGUCUGUAGGAUCAUAUUCUUGUGUGUUUCUAUUGCUGCUAACCAUGCCAGGAUCACAAGCCGACGAGAUUGACUGGGAGAAUUUAUCGAACAAGGAGCUUCAUGAUAAGNNNNNNNNNNNNNNNNNNNNNNNNNNNNNNNNNNNNNNNNNNNNNNNNNNNNNNNNNNNNNNNNNNNNNNNNNNNNNNNNNNNNNNNNNNNNNNNNNNNNUCACCUCCAUAAACGAGAAACAUAUCCUUAGUCCUCUUCAGGUACUUCAGGAUAUUCUUGACCGUUGUCAAGUGUUCCAUGCCGGGAUUACUUUGGUACCUUCCUACCAAACUUACGGCAAGGUUUACAUCAGGUCUGGUACACAGCAUGGCAUACAUAAUAGACCCUAUGGCCGAGGCAUAGGGGAUGACACUCAUCUUUUCUCUAUCUUCUGUCGUGGUCGGGCAUUGAGCCGUGCUCAAUUGCACACCUUGCAAUACAGGCAAGAACCCCUUCUUGGACUGAUCCAUAUUGAACUUCUUCAAUAUCUUGUCAAGGUACGUACUCUGUGAAAGCCCAAUGAAGCGUCUUGAUCUAUCUCUAUAGAUCUUGAUGCCUAAUAUAUAAGCAGCUUCUCCAAGGUCCUUCAUUGAAAAACACUUAUUCAAAUAGGCCUUUAUACUUUCCAAGAAUUCUAUAUCAUUUCCCAUCAAUAGUAUGUCAUCCACAUAUAAUAAGAGAAAUGCUAAAGAGCUCCCACUCACUUUCUUGUAAACACAGGCUUCUCCAUAAGUCUGUGUAAACCCAAACGCUUUGAUCAUCUCAUCAAAAUGAAUGUUCCAACUCCGAGAUGCUUGCACCAGCCCAUAGAUGGAGCGCUGGAGCUUGCAUACCUUGUUAGCAUUCUUAGGAUCGACAAAACCUUCCGGCUGCAUCAUAUACAAUUCUUCCUUAAGAAAGCCGUUAAGGAAUGCCGUUUUGACGUCCAUUUGCCAUAUCUCAUAAUCAUAGAAUGCGGUAAUUGCUAACAUGAUUCGGACGGACUUCAGCUUCGCUACGGGUGAGAAAGUCUCAUCGUAGUCAACCCCUUGAACUUGUCGAUAACCCUUAGCGACAAGUCGAGCCUUAUAGAUGGUCACAUUACCAUCCGCGUCUGUCUUCUUCUUAAAGAUCCAUUUAUUUUCUAUGGCUCGCCGAUCAUCGGGCAAGUCAGUCAAAGUCCAUACUUCGUUUUCAUACAUGGAUCCUAUCUUGGAUUUCAUGGCUUCCAGCCAUUUGUCGGAAUCCGGGCCCGCCAUCGCUUCUUCAUAGUUCGAAGGUUCACCAUUGUCUAACAACAUGAUUUCCAGGACAGGGUUGCCGUACCACUCUGGUGCGGAGCGUGUCCUUGUGGACCUACGAAGUUCAGUAGUAACUUGAUCCGUAGCUUCAUGAUCAUCAUCAUUAACUUCCUCCCAGUCGGUGUAGGCACCACAGGAACAUCUUCCCGCGCUGCGCUACUCUCCGGUUCGGAACGGGUGACUAUCACCUCAUCAAGUUCCACUUUCCUCCCACUCACUUCUUUCGAGAGAAACUCUUUCUCCAGAAAGGACCCGUUCUUGGCAACAAAGAUCUUGCCUUCGGAUCUGAGGUAGAAGGUAUACCCAAUGGUUUCCUUAGGGUAUCCUAUGAAGACGCAUUUUUCCGACUUGGGUUCGAGCUUUUCAGGUUGAAGUUUCUUGACAUAAGCAUCGCAUCCCCAAACUUUUAGAAACGACAGCUUAGGUUUCUUCCCAAACCAUAAUUCAUACGGUGUUGUCUCAACGGAUUUCGACGGAGCCCUAUUUAAAGUGAAUGCGACAGUCUCUAAAGCAUAGCCCCAAAAUGAGAGCGGUAGAUCGGUAAGAGACAUCAUAGAUCGCACCAUAUCCAAUAGAGUGCGAUUACGACGUUCGGACACACCGUUUCGCUGAGGUGUUCCAGGCGGCGUGAGUUGUGAAACGAUUCCACAUUUCCUUAAGUGCGUACCAAAUUCGUGGCUUAAAUAUUCUCCACCAUGAUCUGAUCGUAAGAACUUUAUUUUCUUGUCACGUUGAUUCUCAACCUCACUCUGAAAUUCCUUGAACUUUUCAAAGGUUUCAGACUUGUGUUUCAUUAGGUAGACAUACCCAUAUCUACUUAAGUCAUCAGUGAGAGUGAGAACAUAACGAUAUCCUCCGCGAGCCUCAACACUCAUUGGACCGCACACAUCAGUAUGUAUGAUUUCCAAUAAGUUGGUUGCUCGCUCCAUUGUUCCGGAGAACGGAGUCUUGGUCAUCUUACCCAUGAGGCAUGGUUCGCACNNNNNNNNNNNNNNNNNNNNNNNNNNNNNNNNNNNNNNNNNNNNNNNNNNNNNNNNNNNNNNNNNNNNNNNNNNNNNNNNNNNNNNNNNNNNNNNNNNNNUAUACGUAUCCGGUUUGCUACUCAGAGUCAUUCGGAUAGGUGUUAAAGCUUGCAUCGACGUAACCCUUUACGCCGAACUCUUUAUCACCUCCAUAAUCGAGAAACAUGUCCUUAUUUACUCCAAGGACAAUUUUGACCGCUGUCCAAUGAUCCAUUCCCGGAUCAUUCUUGUACCCCUUGACUGACUCAUGGCAAGGCACACUUCCGGUGCGGUACACAGCAUAGCAUACUAUAGAGCCUACGUCUGAAGCAUAGGGGACGACCUUCGUCCUUUCUCUCUCUUCUGCCGGGGUCGAGCUUUAACUCUUAACUUCAUACCUUACAACUCAGGCAAGAACUCCUUCUUUGACUAAUCCAUCUUGAACACCUUCAAGAUCAUGUCAAGGUAUGUGCUCAUUUGAAAGUACCAUUAAGCGUUUUUGAUCUAUCCUCAUAGAUCUUGAUGCUCAAUGUUCAAGUAGCUUAAUCCAGGUUUUCUAUUGAAAAACACUUUUCAAAUAACCCUAUAUGCUUUUCAGAAAUUCUACAUCAUUUCUGAUCAACAAUAUGUCAACAACAUAUACUCAUCAGAAAUUCUAUAGUGCUCCCACUCACUUCUUUGGAAGUACAAGUUUCUCAUAAACUUUGUAUAAACCCAAAAUCUUUGAUCAUCUCAUCAAAGCGUACAUUCCAACUCCAAGAUGCUUACUCCAGUCCUUAGAAGGAUCGCUGGAGCCAGCAUACCUUUUAGCAUCCUUAGGAUCGACAAAAACUUUCUGAUUAUAUCACAUACAACCUUUCCUUACGAAAACUGGUAAGGAAACUCAUUUUUGACAUCCAUCUGCCAGUUUUCAUAAAUGCAGCUAAUGCUAGCAUGAUUCCGACGGACUUUAAGCAUCGCUACGGAUGAGAAAAUCUCAUCGUAGUCAACUCCUUGAACUUGUGAAAAACUCUUCGCCACAAGUCGAGCCUCAUAGAUGGUGACAUUACCAUCCACGUCUGUCUUCUUCUUAAAGAUCCAUUUAUCUCAAUGGCUUGCCUGAUCAUCGGGCAAGUCCACCAAAGUCCAUGCUUUGUUCUGAUACAUGGAUCCUAUCUCGGAUUUCCUGGCUUCUAACCAUUUGUUGGAAUUCGGGCCCACCAUCGCUUCUCCAUAGCUGGUAGGUUCAUUGUUGUCUAGCAACAUGACCUUCAAGACAGGAUUACUGUACCACUCUGAAGCAGUACGCAUCCUUGUCACCCUACGAGGUACGGUAGUGCCUUGAUCCGAAGUUUCAUGAUCACUAUCAUAAGCUUCUACUUCAAUUGGUGUAGGUGCCACAAGAACAACUUCCAGUGCCCUUCUACACACUAGUUGUAGUGAUGGUUCAGUAACCAUAUCAAGUCUCCACCAUCCUCCCACUCAACUUUUCGAGACAAACUUUUCCUCGAGAAAGGACCUGGUUCAAGAAACAAUCCCUAUUGCUUUCAGAUCUGAAUUAGGAGGUAUACCCAACCAUUUUGGGUAUCCUAUGAAGAUGCAUUUAUCCGUUUUGGGUUCGAGCUUAUCACGAUGAAACUUUUUCACAUAAGCGUCGCAGCCCCAAACUUUCAAGAAACGACAGCUUAGGUUUCUCUAAACCAUAGUUCUCGCGGUGUCAUCUCAACGGAAUUACGUGGUGCCCUAUUAAAGUGAGUGCGGUUGUAUCUAAUGCCUAACCCAUGAACGAUAGUGGUAAUUCGAUAAGAGACAUCAUGGUACGCACCAUAUCCAAUAGGGUGCAACUAUGAUGUUCGGACACACCAUCAUGCUAUGGUGUUCCAGGCGGUAUUAAUUGUGAAACAAUUUCCACAAUGUCUUAAUUGCGUGCCAAAGCUCGUAACUCAGAUACUCAUCUCUAUGAUCAUAUCAUAGACAUUUUAUCAUCUUGUCACAAUGAUCUUCAACUUCACUCUGAAAUUACUUGAACCAUUCAAUAAUUCAGACUUGUGUUUCAUCAAGUAAAUAUACUCAAUAUCUACUCGAAUCAUCUGUGAAGUAAGAACAUAACGAUAUUCACUACAUGCCUCAGCACUCAUUGGACUGCACACAUCAAAAUGUGUUACUUCCAACAAGUUGCUAUNNNNNNNNNNNNNNNNNNNNNNNNNNNNNNNNNNNNNNNNNNNNNNNNNNNNNNNNNNNNNNNNNNNNNNNNNNNNNNNNNNNNNNNNNNNNNNNNNNNNACAAAUCAGGUCGGGUUGCCAAGUGGUUAUAAAUAGCCCACCCCUACAACCAUAAACGGUUGGCUGCUCAGAUUCAGAGUACGGCUUUUGUCGUUUGAGAGCAACCCACCUCGAAGCCUUUGAGAGAGAAUUCCUUGCGAGGAUAAAGCCCUAACCACCCAGAGCCAAAGAGAAUUAGGCAUCACUUAAGUCUUCUUGUCUGUGUGAUCUAAAGACUCAUUACACUUGAGGACUGUGCAUCCUCCAGCCGGUUAGGCGUCGCGUUCUGAGCAUCCAAGAGACAUUGUGGAUUGCCGGUGAACAAAGUCUGUGAAGGUUUGGGAGUCUACCUUGAAGACUUACCAGAGUGAUUGGGCGAGGUCUGUGUGACCUUAGCUCAAGGGGAAUACGGUGAGGACUGGGUGUCCUGAGUUGCGUGUUCAGGACUGGGUGUCCGGGACUGUGUGUCCUAAGGUUUAAAUACCUAGCCGCCCUAACCAGACAUACAGUUGUCACAGCAACUGGAACUGGUCCAACAAAUCAUUGUCUUCAAUGAGUCACUGGUUUCAUCUUCCCUUCCCUUUACUUACUGUUACUCCUUGUGAAGUCAUUGUAUGAUUGCACUAUCUUUUAUCUUCACUGAGUGACUGCGUUUUCUGUUUGGCUUCAUAAUAUCUUCCUACCUGAUCCUUACUACAUUGCUGCUAUUAGUCAUUGUGCUUUCACUCCAUUUAAUACUUGACUAUGGCUUGCCUAGUGUAGUCUACCUUCCACUGCAGGGUAAUAGGUUUAUUUCUAUCGUUUGUCUUCAUAACUUCCAUGUUUUGAAGACUUUCAUAAAAAUCGCCUAUUCACCCCCCUCUAGUCGAUAUAACCCACUUUCAGUAGGAGCCAACAUGGGUAUCCAUAUCCCGCUGUUGGUUAUUGGCCGGAGAGUUGUCUCGGUCAUGUAUGCAUGGUUCCCGAACCCGUAGGGUCUACACACUUAAGGUUCGGUGACGCUAGGGUUGUAGAGAUAUUAGUAUGCGGUAACCCGAAAGUUGUUCGGAGUCCCGGAUGAGAUCCGGACGUCACGAGGAGUUCCGGAAUGGCCCGGAGGUAAAGAUUUAUAUAUAGGAAGUCCAGUUUCGGCCACCAGGAAAGUUUCUGGGGUCAUCGGUAUUGUACCGGCACCACCGGAAGGGUCCCGGGGGUCCACCGGGUGGGGCCACCUAUCUCGGAGGGCCCCAUGGGCUGAAGUGGGAAGGGAACCAACCCAUGGUGGGCUGGUGCGCCCCCCUUGGGCCUCCUCCUGCGCCUAGGGUUGGAAACCCUGGGGGUGGGGGCGCCCCACCAAACUUGGGGGGCAAGUCCCCCCCCCCUUGGCCGCCGCCCCUCCUUAGAUGGGAUCUACAAGGGGGCCGGCGCCCUCCUUGGCCCCUAUAUAUAGUGGAGGGGUGGGAGGGCAGCCGCACCCCAAGUCCCUGGCGCCUCCCUCCCUCCCGUGACACCUCUUCCUCCCCGCUUGCGCUUGGCGAAGCCCUGCCGGGAUCCCGCUACUUCCACCACCACACCGUCGUGCUGCUGGAUCUCCAUCAACCUCUCCUUCCCUUGCUAGAUCAAGAAGGAGGAGACGUCUCUCCCAAUCGUACGUGUGUUGAACGCGGAGGUGCCGUCCGUUCGGCGCUCGGUCAUCGGUGAUUUGGAUCACGACGAGUAUGACUCCAUCAACCCCGUUCUCUUGAACGCUUCCGCUUGCGAUCUACAAGGGUAUGUAGAUGCACUCCUCUCCCUCUCGUUGCUAGAUGUCUCCAUAGAUUGAUCUUGGUGAUGCGUAGAAAAUUUUAAAAUUCUGCUACGUUCCCCAACAGUGACUUCCUUCAAGUGGCGUCCAAAAGGUGUGUCUUCAUCCGGUUGUGCAAACUUGUUCUUCAUCUCCGUCAUCCUAAAGAUUAGAAAAUGGAGAGGAGUCAGAAAUGAGAAGAGAAUAGUGAUCUAUGAUCUUUGUGGUCGUGUCCUACACUCAGUGUGUGCUCUGAUACCAUCUUGUAGCAACCCGACCUCAAACGGUCAAGUCUCUGUGCUUCAGUGUCAUCCCUGGAUCGGUAAUGCUGACACACACANNNNNNNNNNNNNNNNNNNNNNNNNNNNNNNNNNNNNNNNNNNNNNNNNNNNNNNNNNNNNNNNNNNNNNNNNNNNNNNNNNNNNNNNNNNNNNNNNNNNAAAAUACUAGGACAUAUUUAAUGCACUAUUGACCAAAUGGUUGGGUGUGAGAAGCUUUGAUCCACCUCUCAUGAAAAGACAAAUUUCCAUCGAUUCAGCAAGAAGCCGGUCAAAUUUCAACUGUAGCUGCCUCAUAGUUUGCUCUUUAUUUUUUUCCAAAAAUCAUUUCUAGGUACAUAAGUAUCUAUUUAAUCAGAAAAACACCAAAAAAUUCCAAGAUUCAACCACUAGCUAGGAACGGUCAUUCCCGCCGUUUUGACCGCAUUUUGAAACGUGCAUAAAAAAUUCAAAAAAUCAAAAAAUUGGGAAACCUUCGCAUUGUGUCAUCAUAUGUGGCCAAGUUCCCUGGAAAAAUAACAAACUUCUAGUACGGCAAUUAUUUUAAAAAAGUGUUCUCAGAAACGAGCUAUCACGUGUGGAGAUGAAUGGCUUUCAAGCCAAAUGAUCAAUCUUAUGGCCACAUUCAUGGCAUAGUUUGUUCAAAUGAUCUCAUAUUGUGCACAAGGGUGCAUAUUGGAAUGGCAAACAAUGUUGCCUAAGGAAGUUUUCAUUUUCUUUGGACGAAAAAACCAUUUUCUAUUUUUCGAGUGCCCGGAAGGAGGUUUUUUUGUGAAGGACCUCACAAAUAAUUGUUGCAAAAUUGGACCAAAUCAUUUUUCUAAAAUACUAGGCCAUAUUUAAUGCACAAUUGACCAAAUGGUUGGGUGUAAAAAGUUUUGAUCCACCUCUCUUGAAAAAGACAAAUUUCCGCCGAUUCAGCGGGAAGCGGGUCAAAUUUGAACUAUAGCUGCCUCAUAGUUUGUUAUUUAUUUUUUACAAAAAUAAUUUCUAGGUACAUAAGUAUCUAUUGAAUCAGAGAAACACCAAAAAAUUCCAAGAUUCCACCACUAGCUAGGAACGGUCAUUCCCGCCGUUUUGACUGCAUUUUGAAACGGGCAUAACAAAUUCAAAAAAAAAUCAAAAAAUUGGGAAACCUUAGCAUUUGUGUCAUCAUAUGUGGCCAAGUUCCCAGGAAAAAUAACAAACUUGUAAUACGGCAAUUAUUUUCAAAAAAGUGUUCUCAGAAACGAGCUAUCACGUGUGGAGAUGAAUGGCUUUGAAGCCAAAUGAUCAAUCUUAUGGCCACAUUCAUGGCAUAGUUUGUUCAAAUGAUCUCAAAUUGUUCACAAGGGUGCAUAUUGGAAUGGCAAACAAUGUUCCCUAAGGAAGUUUUCAUUUUCUGUGGACGAAAAAUCCAUUUUCCAUUUUUCAAGUGUCCGAAAUAAGCUUUUUUGUGAAGGACCUACCAAAUAUUUGUUGCAAAAUUGUACCAAAUCAAUUUUCUAAAAUACUAGGACAUAUUUAAUGCACUAUUGACCAAAUGGUUUGGUGUGAGAAGCUUUGAUCCACCUCUCAUGAAAAGACAAAUUUCCAUCGAUUCAGCAAGAAGCCGGUCAAAUUUCAACUGUAGCUGCCUUGUAGUUUGCUCUUUAUUUUUUUCCAAAAAUCAUUUCUAGGUACAUAAGUAUCUAUUUAAUCAGAGAAACACCAAAAAAUUCCAAGAUUCAACCACUAGCUAGGAACGGUCAUUCCCGCCGUUUUGACCGCAUUUUGAAACGUGCAUAAAAAAUUCAAAAAAUCAAAAAAUUGGGAAACCUUCGCAUUGUGUCAUCAUAUGUGGCCAAGUUCCCUGGAAAAAUAACAAACUUGUAGUACGGCAAUUAUUUUAAAAAAGUGUUCUCAGAAACGAGCUAUCACGUGUGGAGAUGAAUGGCUUUCAAGCCAAAUGAUCAAUCUUAUGGCCACAUUCAUGGCAUAGUUUGUUCAAAUGAUCUCAUAUUGUGCACAAGGGUGCAUAUUGGAAUGGCAAACAAUGUUGCCUAAGGAAGUUUUCAUUUUCUUUGGACGAAAAAACCAUUUUCCAUUUUUCGAGUGCCCGAAAGGAGGUUUUUUUGUGAAGGACCUCCCAAAUAAUUGUUGCAAAAUUGGACCAAAUCAUUUUUCUAAAAUACUAGGCCAUAUUUAAUGCACAAUUGACCAAAUGGUUGGGUGUAAAAAGUUUUGAUCCACCUCUCUUGAAAAAGACAAAUUUCCGCCGAUUCNNNNNNNNNNNNNNNNNNNNNNNNNNNNNNNNNNNNNNNNNNNNNNNNNNNNNNNNNNNNNNNNNNNNNNNNNNNNNNNNNNNNNNNNNNNNNNNNNNNNGGGUCGCAGUGGAGAAAAAUUGUGAGAAAGUACUGGGAUGAGUUUGCAAAGGACCCAAGGAACGUAUGGUUUGCUUUAAGCGCGGAUGGCAUUAAUCCUUUUCGGGGAGCAGAGCAGCAAUCACAGCACCUGGCCGGUCACUCUAUGUAUGUAUAACCUUCCUCCUUGGAUGUGCAUGAAGCGGAAGUUCAUUAUGAUGCCUAUUCUCAUCCAAGGCCCUAAGCAACCCGGCAACGACAUUGAUGUGUACCUAAGGCCAUUAGUUGAAGAACUUUUACAGCUGUGGAAUGGAAAUGGUGUACGUACGUGGGAUGAGCACGGACAGGAGGAAUUUAACCUAAAGGCGUUGUUGUUCGUGACCAUCAACGAUUGGCCCGCUCUCAGUAACCUUUCAGGACAGACAAACAAAGGAUACCACGCAUGCACCCACUGUCUUGAUGACACUGAAAGUAUAUACCUGGACAAAUGCAGGAAGAAUGUGUACCUGGGCCAUCGUCGAUUUCUUCCGACCAACCAUCAAUGUCGAAAUAAAGGUAAGCAUUUCAAAGGCGAGGCAGAUCACCGGAAGAAGCCCGCCAUGCGUAUCGGUGGUCACGUACUUGCUAUGGUCAAUGAUUUACACGUAAUCUUUGGAAAAGGUGCUGGCGCACUAGCUGUUCCGAAUGACGCUGAGGGACACGCACCCAUGUGGAAGAAGAAAUCUAUAUUUUGGGACCUACCCUACUGGAAAGACUUAGAGGUCCGCUCUUCAAUCGACGUGAUGCACGUGACGAAGAACCUUUGCGUGAACCUGCUAGGCUUCUUGGGCGUGUAUGGAAAGACAAAAGAUACACCCGAGGCACCGGAGGAGCUCCAACGUUUGCACCAAAAAGACGGCAUGCCUCCGAAGCAGUAUGAAGGUCCUGCCAGCUACGCUCUUACGAAAGAUGAGAAAGAAAUCUUCUUUGAAUGCCUGCUCAGUAUGAAGGUCCCGACUGGCUUCUCGUCAAAUAUAAAGGGAAUAAUAAAUAUUCCAGAGAAAAAGUUCCAGAACCUAAAGUCUCAUGACUGCCACGUGAUUAUGACGCAACUGCUUCCGGUUGCAUUGAGGGGGCUUUUACCGGAAAACGUCCGAUUAGCCAUUGUGAAGCUAUGUGCAUUUCUCAAUGCAAUCUCUCAGAAGGUGAUCGAUCCAGAAAUGGUACCAACGCUAAGGAGUGAUGUGGCGCAAUGUCUUGUCAGUUUCGAGCUGGUGUUCCCACCAUCCUUCUUCAAUAUCAUGACGCAUGUCCUAGUUCAUCUAGUCGACGAGAUUGUCGUUCUGGGGCCCGUAUUUCUACACAAUAUGUUCCCCUUUGAGAGGUUCAUGGGAGUCCUAAAGGAAUAUGUCCGUAACCGCGCUAGGCCAGAAGGAAGCAUCUCCAUGGGCCAUCAAACAGAGGAUGUCAUCGGGUUUUGUGUUGACUUCAUUCCUGGCCUUAAGAAGAUAGGUCUCCCUAAAUCGCGGUAUGAGGGGAGACUUACUGGAAAAGGCACGCUAGGAGCGGACUCAAUAAUAUGCAGGGACGGGCAUUCUUGGUCUCAAGCGCACUACACAGUUCUACAGAACUCUACCUUGGUGACCCCGUAUGUCGAUGAACACAAGAACAGUCUGCGCUCCAAACACCCGGAGCAGUGCGACGACUGGAUUACAUGUGAACACAUCAGGACUUUCAGCAGUUGGUUGGAAGCACGUCUUAGAGGUGACAACACUGUUUGUGAUGAGUUGUACUUGUUGUCCAGGGGACCAUCUUUGACUAUAUUGAUUUACAAAGGAUACGAGAUAAAUGGGAAUACAUUUUACACGAUUGACCAAGAUCAGAAGAGCACCAACCAAAACAGCGGUGUCCGCUUUGAUGCAACAACCGAGAAGGGAAAGGACACAUAUUAUGGUUACAUAGUGGACAUAUGGGAACUUGACUACGGACAAGAUUUUAGGGUCCCUUUGUUUAAGUGCAAAUGGGUCAAUCUGUCAGGAGGCGGGGUACAUGUAGACCCACAGUACGGAAUGACAACAGUGGAUCUGAAAAAUCUUGGGUACACUGAUGAACCGUUCGUCCUAGNNNNNNNNNNNNNNNNNNNNNNNNNNNNNNNNNNNNNNNNNNNNNNNNNNNNNNNNNNNNNNNNNNNNNNNNNNNNNNNNNNNNNNNNNNNNNNNNNNNNAAUACUUUAGCUCCUUGCAGGCGGUCAAACAACUCAUUGAUCAUCGGCAGUGGGUACUUGUUUUUGAUGGUCACUUCAUUCAAUCCUCGGUAAUCAACAACCAUCCUCAGCGAUCCAUCUUUCUUCUCCACUAGAAGUACUGGUGAUCCCCAAGGUGACGAACUUGGGCGAAUAUAGCCUUUAUCCAGUAACUCCUUGAUCUGUUUCUUAAUUUCCUCCAAAUCCUUUGCGAGCAUCCUGUACGGUCUCUUAGAUAUUGGCCCUGUGCUUGGCAAAAGUUCAAUCAAGAACUCAAUGUCUCUAUCCGGUGGCAUGCCUGGCAACUCUUCUGGAAAUACAUCCGGAUAAUCCUUCACCACUGGUACUUCCUCCUGUACAACUCCUGAUAAGGAAUUCACUUGAGUCCUCUUCGGCAUAUGCCUGGAUACAUACUUUAUCCUUUUUCCUUCCGGGGUGGUAAGCAAAAUAGUCUUGUUGGCACAAUCGAUGUUUCCUCCAUACAACGAUAGCCAAUCCAUUCCCAAAAUCACAUCCAAACCUUGCGAUUCCAAAACAAUGAGGUCUGAGGGGAAAACAUGCCUACCAAUGGCCAACGGUAUCUUAAAAAAUCCUUGGGUGGCCAUAUACUCUGCUCCUGGCGAGGUUACUAACAUGGGGCUUUUGAGAACUUGGGUGGACAUCUUAAACUUGUUUACGAAUCCCCUUGAUAUGUAUGAAUGCGAUGCACCAGUAUCGAAAAGAACAGUUGCAGUAAAUGACUUAACCAAAAACUUACCUAUUACUGCAUCAGGCUGAGCUUCAACCUCCUCCACGCUCACGUGGUUCACAUGUCCUUUGUUGAACGGGUUCGGCUUCUUCCCAGAGCUUCCAUUGCCGUUUCCAUUUUGGGCUUCGGGACAAUCAGUAGCAUAAUGUCCCGUCUUCUGGCACUUGAAACAAGUAAUGUGACUUAGAUCUCUCUUGGUUGGGGUAGAUGGGUUGGUGCGGUUCUGUCCGUUUCCUCCUCCAUUCCCAUUACCAUUCUUGGAGCCAUUAUGGUUGUGCGAACUACCUCCUCCAUGGGUAUGCUGAAACUGUCCUCCCGGCUUCGGGGUAAAUCGUGGCUUCUGCUGGGCUCCAGAAUUAUACUUCCCUUGUCCAUACUUCCUCUUGCGGUUUUCAAUCUGCUGUUGCUUCCCUUCUAUCAUGAGAGCUCUAUCUACCAGCUCCUGGUAGUUGUUGAAAGUUGCUACCAUCAACUGCAUACUCAGCUCAUCAUUCAAUCCUUCCGGAAACUUCUCCUGCUUGGCAGCAUCCGUAGCAACGUCAUCUGGUGCAUAACGUGCUAACUUACUGAAAUCUUCCACAUAUUGGCCUACGGUGCGUCCUCCUUGGCGUAGGUUGCGAAACUCACGCUUCUUCAUAGCCAUAGCUCCUGCUGAAACAUGAGCUGUACGGAAAGCUUGCUGAAACUGGUCCCAUGUGACAGUGUCAAUAGGGUGCGUGGCUGUAUAAUUCUCCCACCAUGAUGCUGCGGGUCCAUCAAGCUGAUGUGCGGCAAAACGCACUCUUUCCGCAUCUGUGCAUCCUGCAGUGGUCAACUCCCUUCCAACUUUGCGGAGCCAAUCAUCUGCAAUAAUCGGCUCGGUGCUACUGGAAAACACCGGCGGGUUUAGCCUUAAGAAACGGGCUAAGUGAUCAACAGGUGGUGGUGGCGGUGGGUUGUUGUUGUUGUUGUUUCCUUGGUUCUGAACUAACACUUGCAUCAAGGCAUUCUGUUGCUGAAUCAACUGGGUGAUCUCUGGCGGGAAAACAAAUCCGGUGUCGCGUCUCGGAGGCAUCUGAUAGGUUUAGAAAAGAUGAGAAUUAAGAAUAGAAUGAGGUCUAGAGAGAAAACACUACCCAUAUGCUCAUGAGACAAAUUCAAUCAAUAUCACUCAAUCAAUCCAAACAAGGCAGAACAAUCGAUCUAACUAGCGUUACAAAGUGCUUGAGCUGUACUACUAAAUGGGGGAAAACUACUACUGAUAUGGUAGUCUACUAAAAAUUCCGAUCCGUUGAAGACUCCAUGAUGUCUGCUCCAGCUUCAUCAAUCCAUUCCUNNNNNNNNNNNNNNNNNNNNNNNNNNNNNNNNNNNNNNNNNNNNNNNNNNNNNNNNNNNNNNNNNNNNNNNNNNNNNNNNNNNNNNNNNNNNNNNNNNNNGCCAAGGACUCAGGUUCGGCUGCCCUCCCUCCCCUCCACUAUGUAUAGGGGCAAGGGAGAGGGGGGGCACAGCUUGGCCCUUCCUCCAAGGAAGGGUGCGGCCAAGGAGGAGUCCAUCCUCCCUAAGGCACCUAGGAGGUGCCUUCCCCUUUUAGGACUCUCCCUUUCCCUUAUCUCUUGGUGCAUGGGCCUCUUGGGGGGCGCACCAGCCCAUCUAGGGCUGGUCCCCUCCCACACUUGGCCCAUGUAGCCCUCCGAGGAUGGUGGCCCCACUUGGUGGACCCCCGGGACCCUCUCGGUGGUCCCGGUACAUUACCGAUAAAACCCGAAACUUUUCCGGUGAUCAAAACAGGACUUCCCAUAUAUAAUUCUUUACCUCCGGACCAUUCCGGAACUCCUUGUGACGUCCGGGAUCUCAUCUGGGACUUCGAACAACAUUCGGUAACCACAUACAAACUUCCUUUAUAACCCUAGCGUCAUCGAACCUUAAGUGUGUAGACCCUACGGGUUCGGGAACCAUGCAGACAUGACCGAGACGUUCUCCGGUCAAUAACCAACAGCGGGAUCUGGAUACCCAUGUUGGCUCCCACAUGUUCCACGAUGAUCUCAUCGGAUGAACCAUGAUGUCAAGGACUCAAUCGAUCCCGUAUACAAUUCCCGUUGUCUAGCGGUAUUAUACUUGCCCGAGAUUCGAUUGUCGGUAUGCCGAUACCUUGUUCAAUCUUGUAACCGGCAAGUCUCUUUACUCGUUCCGUAACACAUCAUCCCGUGAUCAGCCCCUUGGUCACAUUGUGCACAUUAUGAUGAUGUCCUACCGAGUGGGCCCAGAGAUACCUUUCCGUUUACACGGAGUGACAAAUCCCAGUCUCGAUUCGUGCCAACCCAACAGACACUUUCGGAGAUACCUGUAGUGCACCUUUAUAGCCACCCAGUUACGUUGUGACAUUUGGUACACCCAAAGCAUUCCUACGGUAUCUGGGAGUUGCACAAUCUCAUGGUCUAAGGAAAUGAUACUUGACAUUAGAAAAGCUUUAGCAUACGAACUAUGAUCUUUGUGCUAGGCUUAGGAUUGGGUCUUGUCCAUCACAUCAUUCUCCUAAUGAUGUGAUCCCGUUAUCAACGACAUCCAAUGUCCAUGGUCAGGAAACCGUAACCAUCUGUUGAUCAACGAGCUAGUCAACUAGAGGCUUACUAGGGACAUAGUGUUGUCUAUGUACCCACACAUGUAUCUGAGUUUCCUAUCAAUACAAUUAUAGCAUGGAUAAUAAACGAUUAUCAUGAACAAGGAAAUAUAAUAAUAAUAACCAACUUAUCAUUGCCUCUAGGGCAUAUUUCCAACAGUCUCCCACUUGCACUAGAGUCAAUAAUCUAGUUCACAUCGCCAUGUGAUUAACACUGAUAGGUCACAUCACCAUGUGACCAACAUCCAAAGAGUUUACUAGUGUCUAAACUAGUUCACAUCACCAUGUGAUUAAGUCUCAAUGAGUUCUGGGGUUUGAUCAUGUUUUGCUUGUGAGGGAGGUUUUAGUCAACGGGUCUGCAACAUUCAGAUCCGUAUGUACUUUGCAAUUCUCUAUGUCAUGAUGCUUCCACGCUCCAUUUGAAGCUAUUCCAAAUGGUUGCUCCACUAUACAUAUCCGGUUUGCUACUCAGAGUCAUUCGGAUAGGUGUUAAAGCUUGCAUCGACGUAACCCUUUACGCCGAACUCUUUAUCACCUCCAUAAUCGAGAAACAUGUCCUUUAUUUACUCCAAGGACAAUUUUGACCGCUGUCCAAUGAUCUAUUCCUGGAUCAUUCUUGUACCCCUUGACUGACUCAUGGCAAAGCACACUUCUGGUGCGGUACACAACAUAGCAUACUAUAGAGCCUACGUCUGAAGUAUAGGGGAUGACCUUCGUCCUUUCUCUCUCUUCUGCCGUGGUCGAGCUUUAACUCUUAACUUCAUACCUUACAACUCAGGCAAGAACUCCUUCUUUGACUGAUCCAUCUUGAACACCUUCAAGAUCAUGUCAAGGUAUGUGCUCAUUUGAAAGUAUUAUUAAACAUUUUGAUCUAUCUUAUAGAUCUUGAUGCUUAUUGUUNNNNNNNNNNNNNNNNNNNNNNNNNNNNNNNNNNNNNNNNNNNNNNNNNNNNNNNNNNNNNNNNNNNNNNNNNNNNNNNNNNNNNNNNNNNNNNNNNNNNUAAAAAUAUUGUCAAAUUGAAGUUAUUUCCGUUUUCACUUAGAGAUCGUGCUAAAGUUUGGUUUUCGUCUUUGCCUAAAAAUAGUAUUGAUUCUUGGAACAAGUGCAAAGAUGCUUUUAUCUCUAAGUAUUUUCCUCCCGCUAAGAUCAUCACUCUUAGGAACGAUAUCAUGAAUUUUAAACAACUUGAUCAUGAGCAUGUUUCCCAAUCUUGGGAAAGAAUGAAAUUGAUGCUUCACAAUUGCCCUACUCAUGGUUUGAAUUUAUGGAUGAUCAUACAAAAAUUUUAUGCCGGAUUGAAUUUUUCUUCUAGAAAUCUUUUAGAUUCGGCCACGGGAGGCACGUUUAUGGAAAUUAGGUUAGGAGAUGCUACAAAAUUGCUUGAUAAUAUUAUGGCUAAUUAUUCUCAAUGGCACACCGAAAGAUCUUCUAGUAAAAAAGUGCAUGCUAUAGAAGAAAUCAAUGUUUUGAGUGAAAAGAUGGAUGAACUUAUGAAGAUGUUUGCUCCUAAAAAUACUCCUCUUGAUCCCAAUGAUAUGCCUUUGUCUACUUUGCUUGAGAAUAAUAAUGAAUCUAUGGAUGUGAAUUUUGUUGGUAGGAAUAGUUUUGGAAACAAUGCGUAUAGAGGGAAUUUUAAUCCUAGGCCUUAUCCUAGUAAUCCUUCUAAUAAUUAUGGAAAUUCAUACAACAACUCUUAUGGAAAUUUUAAUAAGAUGCCCUCUGAAUUUGAGACUAGUGUUAAAGAGUUUAUGAAUUCACAAAAGAAUUUUAAUGCUUUGCUUGAACAGAAAUUGCUUAAAGUUGAUGAUUUGGCUAGGAAAGUUGAUAGAAUUUCUCUUGAAAUUGAUUCUUUAAAGCUUAGAUCUAUUCCUCCUAAGCAUGAUAUCAAUGAGUCUCUCAAAGCCAUGAGAAUUUCCAUUGAUGAGUGCAAGGAAAGAACCGCUAGGAUGCGUGCUUCCAAAGAUGCCUUUAUUAAAGCGUGUUCUUCCAAUUCCUAUGAAAAUCAAGAUGAAGAUCUAAAAGUUAUUGAUGUGUCCCCCAUUAAAUCUUUGUUUUGCUAUAUGAAUCUUGAUGAAACUGAAGAUUAUGUUCCCUUACCUAGAAGGCGUUUUAAGAAUUCGGAGUUUCUAGAUCUUGAUGAUGAAAUUGAUGAAAGUGGGAUUGAAAGAAAUAAAAACCUAGAUCUUGCUAAACCUACUAUUUUGGAUCUCAAGGAAUUUAAUUAUGAAAAUUUCUCUUUGAUUGGUUGUAUUUCCUUGUUGCAAUCCGUGCUAGAUUCUCCUCAUGCUUAUAGUCAAAAUAAGGCCUUUACCGAACACAUCGUUGAUGCCUUGAUGCAAUCUUAUGAAGAAAAACUUGAGUUGAAAGUUUCUAUCCCUAGAAAACUCUAUGAUGAGUGGGAACCUACUAUUAAAAUUAAAAUUAAAGAUUACGAGUUUCAUGCUUUGUGUGAUUUGGGUGCUAGUGUCUCUACUAUUCCCAAAACUUUAUGUGAUUUGCUAGAUUUCCGUGAUUUUGAUGAUUGCUCUCUAACCUUGCAUCUUGUGGAUUCCACUAUUAAAAAGCCUAUGGAAAGAAUUAAUGAUGUACUUAUUGUUGCAAAUAGGAAUUAUGUGCCCGUAGAUUUUAUCGUUCUUGAUAUAGAUCGCAAUCCUUCAUGUCCUAUUAUUCUUGGUAGAUCCUUCCUUAGAACGAUUGGUGCAAUUAUUGAUAUGAAGGAAGGGAAUAUUAGAUUCCAAUUUCCCUUGAAGAAGGGUAUGGAACACUUCCCUAGAAAUAAAAUAAAAUUACCAUAUGAAUCUAUCAUGAGAGCCACUUAUGGUACCAAAGAUGGCAAUACCUAGAUCUAUCCUUGCUUUUAUGCCUAGCUAGGGGCGUUAAACGAUAGCGCUUGUUGGGAGGCAACCCAAUUUUAUUUUGUGUUUUUUGUUUUUGCUUCUGUUUAGGAAUAAAUAAUCGAUCUAGCCUCUGUUUGGAUGUGGUUUAAUCUUUUAAUUAGUGUUUGUGCCAAGUAGAACCUGUAGGAUAACCUACGAUGAUAGUUGAUUUGAUUCUGCUGAAAAACAGAAACUUUGCACGCACNNNNNNNNNNNNNNNNNNNNNNNNNNNNNNNNNNNNNNNNNNNNNNNNNNNNNNNNNNNNNNNNNNNNNNNNNNNNNNNNNNNNNNNNNNNNNNNNNNNNGCAAGGAGAUCAGGUUCCUCAUGGAUGAACUUGAGGCCAUGCACGCAUUUCUCCUCAAAAUGUCAGAGGACGAGGAUCCUGAUGUGCAAGACAAAGUUUGGGCAAACGUGGUCAGGGAGCUCUCCUACGACAUGGAGGACACCAUCGACGACUUCAUGCAGAACGUCGAUGACAAAGACGCCAAGCCAGAUGGCUUCAUUGAGAAAAUCAAGCAUACACUAGGAAAGUUGGGCAAGAUGCAGGCUCGGCGACACAUCGGCAGCGAGAUCAAAGAUUUGAAGAAACAAAUCAUUGAGGUGAGCGAGAGGAAUGAAAGGUACAAGACACGUGGGAUCUUCUCCAACACCAGAAAUGCGUCUGUUGAUGCUAGAGCUCUUGCUAUCCUUGAGGAUGCCUCCAAGCUUGUGGGAAUUCAUGAACCUAUGGCUGAAAUAAUCAAGCUGUUGACUCAAGGUGCAUCAACAGAUGAGAAACCAAAGCUGGUCUCCAUCGUAGGAUCUGCAGAAAUGGGCAAGACAACUCUUGCAAACCAAGUGUAUCAAGAGUUCAAAGAGAAAUUCAAGUGUAAGGCUUUCAUAUCGGUGUCGCGAAAUCCAGACCUGAUGAAUAUCAUGAGAACUAUUCAUAGUCAAGUCAGUGGUCUACAUUUUGAUAACACCGAAGCAGGUAGCAUACAACAAGUCAUCAUGAAUAUCAACGGUCACCUAGCAGACAAAAGGUACGGUUUCUAUUGCAUGAACAUAUGUUUGGAAAUCUUACAAUGUCAAGUGAAAUCAAAUGGAGAGAGUACCAACUCUUGAUACAAGUAAUUUGUGCUCAUAUUUUCCAAUCUAUCAUUACAAAAUGUUUAAAGUGAAGUCCUUUCGAUGCCAAGUGAAAUCAAAUGCAGAGAGUACCAACAACCACCCAACGCGCUUAUGAAUAUCCGUUCGUGAUUUAUUAUUUUUCCUUUCUACUGAUAUAGCAUCUUUAACACAUAGGUACUCCAUCCAUUGGUUAUAUGACAUAACCUUCUGUCAGGAUUAGAUAUUUUAUGUAUGUGGAAAUUUUCACUUCCAUCCUAUAUAAUCAACUUGGCUCAUGUUUCUUCCUAAUUCUUCAGGUCUAUGAAUCUCCCUUGAUGCCCUAAACCAUUUUUUUUAGUGUGGUACCCCAUGACCAGUUUUGAGAUGUUCUUUCGAUAAUAGUUUGAUAUUGUAACAUCUACAACCCUUUCACACACUGGAUGCUACAUAUGUUACCAUAUUCUUCCUCCACCUUCUCCUUGUGUAACUGUCUUCCAUCUUCAGACCAGAUCCUCUGUGCAUCCAUCUGGAUGUGCUCCAGUUUCUCCCUUUCCGCUCUCAUCCGCCCACCCAAUGUUGUGAUGUGAUGUGCAGAGUCUAGUUGCCUUGAAUCCUGGAAGUUGCUGUCGACCUUGUGUGACUAUUUGCAUUUGCAUCAUAGCCAUCCAAACCAGAAAAAUAAGUUUAGGGGUUAAGUGGGUUCAGAAAUCAUAUAGAGGGGAAGUGAGGCAAACUAGUUUAGAGGGGAACUGGACUUUUUCUUUUUUUGAGAAACACACAACAUAAAGGUGCUUCACAGUCGAUGGAACGUCGUCUCUCAUUAAAAGAACAUUGCCGGAAAGUCUGGAAUAAAUCCAAGAAAUUGCUAGCACCCAUGCACAAGGACUUGAACCGCGGUGUGCUUGAUCCACCAUAAGGAAGCUAACAAUCGGAGACAUUCAGUUCACAAAUGGACCUUUUUCUUAUAUGAGUACUUUGUAGCUCUUCUUGAUUCUACAUAACCCUGCUGUUUGGAUCCACACCUAGCUAGAUUCUUUGUUCACUGCACAUGAUCACCUUAUUGAUGUCCUUUCUAUACUGGCUAAGCGCAUAAGACUAAUGUCUCAAUCCAUCCCUUGUUUGAACUACUACGUGCUUGUUAAUGAUAUUGAUCACUCUUGAUCCUUUUUUAAACCGUUGCUUAUCACCCAAUUCUAUAUCUGCCAAACUAAUUAUCAUGGAUCGAAGUGACACAUGAAUUAAAUUUGUAGCAUAUGAGAUUAUAAUGAAGGUUCAGAAAAGUGCUUUCGAAUUUUUNNNNNNNNNNNNNNNNNNNNNNNNNNNNNNNNNNNNNNNNNNNNNNNNNNNNNNNNNNNNNNNNNNNNNNNNNNNNNNNNNNNNNNNNNNNNNNNNNNNNGGCGACGAGGAGGGGAUCGCCGGGUAGGAUUAUGCUAUGCGAUGCUACUUGGAGGACUUCAAUCUACUCUCUUCUACAUGCUGCAAGAUGGAGAUGUCCAGAAGCGUAGUCUUCGACAGGACUAGCUAUCCCCCUUUUAUUCUGGCAUUCUGCAGUUCAGUCCACUGAUAUGGCCCUUUACACAUAUACCCAUGCAUAUGUAGUGUAGCUCCUUGCUUGCGAGUACUUUGGAUGAGUACUCACGGUUGCUUUUCUCCCUCUUUUCCCCUUUCUAUACCUGAUUGUCGCAACCAGAUGCUGGAGUCCAGGAGCUAGAGGUCCCGAGGAUGAUUCUACUUGGAGUUCGGCUUCGAGGAGUAGUUAGGAGGUCCCAGGCAGGAGGCCUGCGCCUCGUUCGAUCUGUAUCCCAGUUUGUGCUAGCCUUCUUAAGGCAAACUUGUUUAACUUAUGUCUGUACUCAGAUAUUGUUGCUUCCGCUGACUCGUCUAUGAUCGAGCACUUGUAUUCGAGCCCUCGAGGCCCCUGGCUUGUAUUAUGAUGCUUGUAUGACUUAUUUAUGUUUUAGAGUUGUGUUGUCAUAUCUUCCCGUGAGUCCCUGAUCUUGAUCAUACACAUUUGCGUGCAUGAUUAGUGUACGGUCAAAUCGGGGGCGUCACAAUAAGAAUACCCAAAACAGUUGGGUAUACCUCCUAUUUCAGAUCUGGAAGCAAAAGUAAUUGCUUCUAGAAACAGGUCCUUUCUCGAGGAAAAGUUUCUCUCGAAAGAAUUGAGUGGGAGGAUGGUGGAGACUUGAUGAGGUUAUUGGACCAUAACUUCAACUAGUGUGUAGCAGGGCACAGGAAGUUGUUCCUGUGGCACCUACACCAAUUGAAGUGGAAGCUUAUGAUAGUGAUCAUGAAACUUCGGAUCAAGUCACUACCAAACCUCGUAGGACGACGAGGAUGCGUAAUACUUCAGAGUAGUACGUGAUCCUGUCUUGGAAGUCAUGUUGUUGGACAAUGAUGAACCUAUGAGCUAUGGAGAAGCGAUGGUGGGCCCAUAUUCCGACAAAUGGUUAGAAGCCGUGAAAUCCGAGAUAGGAUCCAUGUAUGAGAACAAAGCAUGGACUUUGGUGAACUUGCCCGUUGAUCGGCAAGCCAUUGAGAUAAAUGGAUCUUUAAGAAGAAGACGGACAUGGACGGUAAUGUUACCGUCUAUGAAGCUCGACUUGUGGCAAAGAGUAUUUUCACAAGUUCAAGGAGUUGACUACGAUGAGAUUUUCUCAUCCGUAGCGAUGCUUAAGUCCGUCGGAAUCAUGUUAGCAUUAGCUGCAUUUAUGAAAUCUGGCAGAUGGAUGUCAAAACAAGUUUCCUUACCAGUUUUCGUAAGGAAAGUUUGUAUGUGAUACAAUCAGAAAGGUUUUGUCGAUCCUAAGGAUGCUAAAAGGUAUGCUAGCUCCAGCGAUCCUUCCAUGGACUAGAGCAAGCAUCUCGGAGUCAGAAUAUACGCUUUGAUGAAGUGAUCAAAGUUUUUGGGUUUAUACAAAGUUUGUUAGAAACUUGUAUUUACAAUAAAGUGAGUGGGAGCGCUACAACAUUUCUGAUAAGUAUAUGUGAAUGACAUAUUGUUGAUCCGAAAUGAUGUAAAAAUUUCUGGAAAGCAUAAAGGGUUGUUUGAAAGGAGUUUUUCAAAGGAAGACCUGGAUAAAGCUGCUUACAUAUUGGGCAUCAAGAUCUAUAGAGAUAGAUCAAGACGCCCGAUGAUACUUUCAAAGAACGCACACCUUGACAUGAUUUUGAAAGAGUUCAAAAUAGAUCAGCAAAGGAGUUCUUGGUUGUGUUACAAGGUGUGAGUAUUGAGUAAGACUCAAGACCUGACCACAGCAGAAGAGAGAGAAAGGACGAAGGUCGUCCCCUAUGCUUUAGACGUAGGCUCUACAGUAUGCUAUGCCGUGUACCGCACAUGAAGUGUGCCUUGCCAUGAGUUGGUCAAGGGGUACAAUAGUGAUCCGGGAGUGGAUCACAUGACAGCGGUCGAACUUAUCCUUAGUAUCUAGUGGACUAAGGAAUUUUCUCGAUUAUGGAGGUGAAAAGGAGUUCGUCNNNNNNNNNNNNNNNNNNNNNNNNNNNNNNNNNNNNNNNNNNNNNNNNNNNNNNNNNNNNNNNNNNNNNNNNNNNNNNNNNNNNNNNNNNNNNNNNNNNNUUGAAAUCCCUUUGUAACAGAUGAGUUUCCGUAUGAAACCCUGAUACUUCGAAAGAGAUUGUCCAUUUUGUACACGAAGUGCAUCUAAUUUUUGUCGUAACCCUCCCUACUUUCUUUCGCAUGCUAUGUGGAUGAAAUGAUGAUACCAUGCCAACUUUCAACCUUUUCAGAGUUCAUUUGAAAUGCAUUUCAAUUUCAUGGUCUUAUAGCUCAAAAUAAGCAGUAAAUGCAUGAAAAAUAACAAAUGAAGUCAGAAAGGGUUGAAAAUUGAUGAUGUGGCUUUGAAUGGUGCAUUUUGAACACAGAAAAAGUCUCGAGUUCAAAUAAGUCCAAAAAAUGAAAUCCCUUUGUAACCGACGAGUUUCCGUAUGAAACCGUGAUACUUCGAAAGAGACUGUCCGUUUUGUACACGCAGUGCAUCCAAUUUUUGCCGUAACCCUCUCUACUUUCUUGCACAUGCUAUGUGGGUGAAAUGAUAAUACCAUGCGACCUUUCAACCUUUUCAGAGUUCAUUUGAAAUGCUUUUAAAUUUCAGGGUCUUAUAGCUCAAAAUAAGCAGUAAAUGCAUGAAAAAUAACAAAUGAAGUCAGAAAGGGUUAAAAAUUGAUGAUGUGGCUUUGAAUGGUGCAUUUUGAACACACAAAAAGUCAGGAGUUCAAAUAAGUUUAAAAAAAUGAAAUCCCUUUGUAUCAGACGAGUUUCCGUAUGUAACACUGAUACUUCGAAAGAGAUUGUCCAUUUUGUACACGCAGUGCAUCCAAUUUUUGCCGUAACCCUCUCAACUUUCUUGCAUAUGCUAUGUGGAUGAAAUGAUGAUACCAUGCCAACUUUCAACCUUUUCAGAGUUCAUUUGAAAUGCUUUUCAAUUUUAGGGUCUUAUAGCUCAAAAUAAUAAGUAAAUGCAUGAAAAAUAACAAAUGAAGUCAGAAAGGGUUGAAAUUUGAUGAUGUGGCUUUGAAUAGUGCAUUUUGAACACACAAAAAGUCUGGAGUUCAAAUAAGUUCAAAAAUUGAAAUCCCUUUGUAACAGAUGAGUUUCCGUAUGAAACCCUGAUACUUCGAAAGAGAUUGUCCAUUUUGUACACGAAGUGCAUCUAAUUUUUGCCGUAACCCUCUCAACUUUCUUGCAUAUGCUAUGUGGAUGAAAUGAUGAUACGAUGCCANNNNNNNNNNNNNNNNNNNNNNNNNNNNNNNNNNNNNNNNNNNNNNNNNNNNNNNNNNNNNNNNNNNNNNNNNNNNNNNNNNGUCUUAUAGCUCAAAAUAAGCAGUAAAUGCAUGAAAAAUAACAAAUGAAGUCAGAAAGGGUUAAAAAUUGAUGAUGUGGCUUUGAAUGGUGCAUUUUGAACACACAAAAAGUCAGGAGUUCAAAUAUGUUUAAAAAAAUGAAAUCCCUUUGUAACAGACGAGUUUCCGUAUGUAACCCUGAUACUUCGAAAGAGAUUGUCCAUUUUGUACACGAAGUGCAUCCAAUUUUUGCCGUAACCCUCCCUACUUUCUUUCACAUGCUAUGUGGAUGAAAUGAUGAUACCAUGCCAACUUUCAACCUUUUCAGAGUUCAUUUGAAAUGCUUUUCAAUUCCAGGGUCUUAUAGCUCAAAAUAAGCAGUAAAUGCAUGAAAAAUAACAAAUGAAGUCAGAAAGGGUUGAAAAUUGAUGAUGUGGCUUUGAAUGGUGCAUUUUGAACACAGAAAAAGUCUGGAGUUCAAAUAAGUUCAAAAAAUGAAAUCCCUUUGUAACCGACGAGUUUCCGUAUGAAACCCUGAUACUUCGAAAGAGACUCUCCGUUUUGUACACGAAGUGCAUCCAAUUUUUGCCGUAACCCUCUCUACUUUCUUGCACAUGCUAUGUGGGUGAAAUGAUAAUACCAUGCGACCUUUCAACCUUUUCAGAGUUCAUUUGAAAUGCUUUUAAAUUUCAGGGUCUUAUAGCUCAAAAUAAGCAGUAAAUGCAUGAAAAAUAAUAAAUGAAGUCAGAAAGGGUUAAAAAUUGAUGAUGUGGCUUUGAAUGGUGCAUUUUGAACACACAAAAAGUCAGGAGUUCAAAUAAGUUUAAAAAAAUGAAAUCCCUUUGUCUCAGACGAGUANNNNNNNNNNNNNNNNNNNNNNNNNNNNNNNNNNNNNNNNNNNNNNNNNNNNNNNNNNNNNNNNNNNNNNNNNNNNNNNNNNNNNNNNNNNNNNNNNNNNAUCAAAAUAUUAUUAUAUAGAACUACCUACUUUAUUUUAGUAAGAAAUUAAUAGAACUAGUUUAUUUUUAGUAAAUGCUUAGUUGAAUUAAUAGAACUAGUUUAUUUAGUUGAAUUAAUAGAACUAGUAAGUGUUUAAUGUUUCACCUAUAUAUGAACAUAUGUUAGAUAUUAAUGUCAAAUGUUAGAUGAAUUAGAUAUAAAUUAUAUGUUAGAUAUAUAUUUAAUUUAGUUAUAUGAGAUUUCAUUAUCUAAUUAACAUUUUAUUAUAUAGAACUAGCUACCUUAUUUUUAGUAAGAAAAUUAAUAGAACUAGUUUAGUUGAAUUAAUUAGUUGAACUAGUUAGUUGAAUUAGUUCAAUUAAUUAGGUAUAUUCUUCGUAAGUGCUUAGUUGAAUUAGUUCAAUUAAUUAGCUGAACUAGUUGAAUUAACAGAAGAACUAAUAAGUGUUUAAUGUUUCACAUAUGAAUAUAGGAAUGUCGUCUGACGACGAACACGAUUUCAUUAUGUGUGAAUACUGCGAAGACCAGCGCGGCCUGUGCGGCAGAAAUUUUCUAGUUGAUGAUAGACGCUUCAGCAUCAAGCUGGAUGAGAACUUCGAAGUGGAUAUAGUAAGUCACAACGACAAGUCUUUUUUCGUAAUUAAGCAUGACUUAUGCUUCAUUUGCUUCAACUUUUAAUUUUAAUUUUUCACUAUUCUACUAGCGUAUCCCCUGCCAUGCAAGAAUUUUUGUUUUAAAUAAGAUAGGUUUCAGUCCUAACGAAACUAUGGAGGUAAAAAGAGUUUACUUGAAGACCGAGCAUGGUUAUACCUUCAACGUCAAAUUAUACAAUGCAGACACAUACACCUAUUUUGAAUGCAAAACUUGGCAAUCACUAUGCAAGGCUUAUGCAUUUGAGCCUGAUAUGGUGAUCACCUUUGAUAUUCGUCCGGAAGAUGAUAUUGAAGGUAAUAGAGACAUCUGGGUCGAUGUGCAGACGCCUCCAGUUCUACCAUUAUGUGAGUUUCUCAACCAUAUUUAUGUCUUCGAUAUGAGAUUAUUUGAACCAGUUGAAUAAUUAAUAGAUCUCAAUUUAUAUUGACAACUUACUUCCAAUCAAGCAAACAUGUCCGGCGCUUGGUAGACAGGACCGUCCACUGUCCCAGGGCUGAACUAAACUACGAGGAGACAAGUCAUUAUGUUUCAUGGCUUGAGGAUCUUGAUGCUGUCAAGACAAAUUUCUUUCCUGCACUUAGAAAUGUUAGUACUCAAAACGUGCGACCAAUAGUGUUCGUACUGAACUACAGUCACAUAUAUUUAGGAAAGAUGAUAAGAUUUCUACUAUUUCUCCUCAGUGCAUCUUUUGCAUACAUUUUUUUAAGCUAAACUUCAUUGCUAAGUAUGUUACUAUACGAUGUUCUUCAAUAGGGACUCCCGAUGAAUGUUGUGCCUGAGUGGAUCGAGACUAAAGGUACCAUGAAUAUUGUUAGCUUACGGCCAAUAUAUCCUACAAUGCACUUUAGUGCAUUCAGGAUUUCUAAUAGCGAGGAAUGCUUAAUAGUAAAAGACUGGAGCAAAAUUGUGAACGAUCACAGAGAAGUACUAGGGGGCAGCAAUCAGAAGCGCAACCCACGAUUAGGAGACAUGUUCAUCUGCAUGCUCCAAUAUGAUGAAUCAGCAAAGCUAUACAUGUUCUAUGCUAUUUUACCCGAGAGAGAGCAGCAGGAGUGAUUAAUUAGCUAGUUCAUGCUCUUAGUACUUGUCCUCUCAUGUCCGUGUUCUUCGUCCUGAACUUAAUCUCAAAGAGUGAUUUGCUUUUGUGGUGUUAUGAACGCUUAUAAUAUCAUUACCAUGUUGAACUCGAUGAUAUCUUUGCUAUGAAAACCGUUGGUGAUGAUAUAUAUGAUGCAAGAGUUUUUAUAUUAAUUAAUAUGAUGAUGAUGAUGAGUUAUUAUAUCAUUUAUGAAAGAAAUUGCAUAUUAGUUUCAACUGGAUGGAUUCUAGCUAAGUGAUCAAGUAUAUGCCAUAUCCAUAUUACCUCGAUCACUUAAGUAGGUGAUCAAGUAUAUAUAAUAUGGAUAUGACAUAUACUUGAUGACUNNNNNNNNNNNNNNNNNNNNNNNNNNNNNNNNNNNNNNNNNNNNNNNNNNNNNNNNNNNNNNNNNNNNNNNNNNNNNNNNNNNNNNNNNNNNNNNNNNNNUGUGGAUGUGAGAUGUAAAAUAUUUCUGCCUGGCCAGGCUUGUGUGGUGCUGAAGCGUUUGGUUCAUGCCUGGGCCAGGCAAAGCAUCAACGUCCCAUCAAUCAAUCCAUGCAGCAAUUAUUUAAUGCUAAUAUCCAUCCAUGUUGCUAUUAGCCUUAUGGCCGCACGACCAGGCAUGGCCAGGCGUUCGAAAUCGGUCGCCUGGGCUAGGCUACUUCCAGUGUCUAGAGUCCAGCCAGGCUAAUUAAAGUGCAAGGGAAUCCAGGCCAGGCGGGCUUUUUUUCACAGGGUAGCAACCAAACAAGUGUGCAUGAAAUCCAGCCACAACCCCAGGCCAGGCAAAACAUGCUCAGGACGCAAGCCAAACUGACCUUAUAUCUCCCUGGUUCACACAUACACAUGUCUCGCCUGCGCUAUACAUAUAGACCCAUCCAACACUCUCCGCCCUUGUUCUGUCUCCAUGUGACACGCACCCCUCCUAAGUUUGAUUAUCUCUUACUAGCCAUCAGGAACACACGUAUUGUCUCCUUCCAUCCAUACGUCUAUCUCGAUAUCUAUCGGGGCAUCUUCUAUCGUGCACACACCUUGUCACUCGAUCUCCCACCCAUGUAGUCCCAUCACGAUCUCCAGGGGAUCUCUCUAUGACAAACAUACACUCUCUCCUCCCCAUGUCUGCAUUUUCUCUGUACGUCUCUCCCGACCUCUCUCCCUUUUUUUAGACCCCUCUUGGCCACGUGCUAGGGUUCUUGCUCUCUCGGUCCCAAACAACCACACACUAUCUCCUCACCUUGCCUCCGUUGUCGAAGAUGCAUGUGUGAUAUGUUUGCAUAAGACAUGCACACUUUUUCUCUACUUUUAUCGUGUGUUGUCCAUGUCUCUUUCACACACGCACACCCACUUUUUUCACUCACUCUUUCUAUUUCUCUCUCUCUCUAGUUAGGGACUCUGUCAUGUCCAUAAGCAUAUGGAUGUUUUGAAAAGUUAAACCUCAGAAAAGUUUGACCAGGUAUAUGUGGAGAAAAACAUUUACAUCUGGAACGAUCAUUAGAUUCAUCACAACAUGUACUUACUUCAUACUAUCAUUUAUCUUUGGUAUUGUAGAUAUAAGUAAUUUCUUUAUAAACAUUGUCAAAGUUUCAAAAGUUUGACUUUAAAAAAAAUUGGAACUACAUUAUUGAACGAAGGGAGUAGCUCUCUCUCUCUCUCUCUCUCUCUCUCUCUCUCUGCUAUCUCUCACGGGCCUACCCUCUCACUUGAACUCUCUAUACCAACGGAUUAUAUGCUCACUGUGUCAGCGUAUAGCUCCGUAUAUUGUUUAGUUGACCAGUCAACCAGUCCACAUGCUGCCUUGUCAGCUCGUGUUCUGUAUCUUCGUGUGCUGGCCCAUGUGGCAGUGGGUGAAAAUAAGUAAACUAGGGGCCCAUCUGACAUGCAGUGAUGUAAACAAUGUUGAAACCACUCGGGGUAGCACCCCGCACUCUAGUAAAUUGAGGGCUCAUUGAGGACACACUUCUUGCGCAUGAAGGAUGCACUCGCGCACAAUUCAGCACUGCGUGGUGGCAUGCACAGAAGGACACACUCGCUCACACCCAGCACACAACACACACCAGCACAUGUUUACACCGGCGUCGCCGCCGGUUGAGAUGGACGGCGAGGCAGCCAACAAGUGGAGGUGGCUCGAGCCAAAACCGCAUUCGGCGAGCCUGGACUUCAUCAGCAACCUCCCCGAUGACAUGCUGCUCAUCAUCAUCGGCCUCAUCCCCACCAAAUCUACCGUGCGGACCGCCCUGCUCUCCUUGUGGUGGCGCCCCCUCUAGAGCCGCGUCCCCCUCAACCUCACCAUCGACAGCUGCCUCUGCAACGGGGAUUGCAAACGCAUGGCCGCAGUCUCCAAGAUCCUUUCAUCGCACCCUGGGCCAACCAGAUGCCUUGACAUACGCAUGUUCAGUACCAACUGCAAGGUCCAAACCAAGUUCGACGAGUGGUUCUUAUCCCCCGCACUAGAUCAGCUCGAGGACCUCAGCUUUGAAGCUGGACGAUGUCGCUCUCUGCUGCCGUCCGCGCUCCGCCUCACGCCAACANNNNNNNNNNNNNNNNNNNNNNNNNNNNNNNNNNNNNNNNNNNNNNNNNNNNNNNNNNNNNNNNNNNNNNNNNNNNNNNNNNNNNNNNNNNNNNNNNNNNUAUAGGCAUCAUGUCCAAGAUUAGUAGACCGACUCCUGCCUGCAUCUACUACUAGUACUCCACACAUCGACCGCUAUCCAGCAUGCAUCUAGUGCAUUAAGUUCAUGGAGAAACAGAGUAAUGCAAUAAAAACGAUGACAUGAUGUAGACAAGAUCUAUUUAUGUAGAAAUAGACCCCAUCUUGUUGUCCUUAAUAGCAAUGAUACAUACGUGUCGGUUCCCCUUCUGUCACUGGGAUCAAGCACCGUAAGAUCGAACCCAUCACAAAGCACCUCUUCCCAUGGCAAGAAAAAUCGAUCUAGUCGGCCUAACUAAACCAAAGAUUCGAAGAAGAAAUAUGAGGCUAUAAGUAAUCAUACAUAUAAGAGAUCAAAAGACUCAAAUAACUUUCAUGGAUAAAAACAUAGAUCUGAUCAUAAACUCAAAGUUCAUCGGAUCCCAACAAACACACCGCGAAAAGAGUUACAUCAAAUAGAUCUCCAAGAGACCAUUAUAUUGAGAAUCAAAAGAGAGAGAGAGGAGAGAGAGAGAGAGUGGGAGAGAGAGAGAGAGAUAGAUAGAUAGAUAGAGAGAGAGAAAGCCAUCUAUCUACUAACUACGGAUCCGUGGGUCUACAAUGAACUACUCACGCGUCAUCAGAGAGGCACCAAUGAGGAUGAUGAAACCCUCUAUGAUGGUGUCUAGAUUGGAUCUGUGGUUUAUGGAACUUGCGGCGGCUGGAAUUGAUUUUUGUCGACUCCCCUAGGGUUUCUAGAAUAUUAGGGUAUUUAUAGAGCAAAGAGGCGGUGCAGGAGGCCACUAAGGUGGGCACAACACACCUGGGCGCGCCUGGGCCCCCAGGCACGCCCUGGUGGGUUGUGCUCCCCUUGGAUCUCCCCUCAGGUACUUUCUUGGCCCAACAGGUGUCUUCUGGUCUAGAAAAAAUCACCAAAAAGUUUCCCUGCGUUUGGACUCCGUUUGGUAUUGAUCUUCUGCGAAGUAAAAAACAAGCAAAAAACAGCAAGUGGCACUGGGCACUAUGUCAAUAGGUUAGUCCCAAAAAAUGAUAUAAAGUUGCUAUAAAAUGAUUGUAAAACAUCCAAGAUUGAUAAUAUAACAGCAUGGAACAAUAAAAAAUUAUAGAUAUGUUGGAGACGUAUCAAAACUCUCUCAAAGUGAGGCAAAGAAUAACUCCAAAGUCUCUAUUCUUAUUGGAGAAAGUAGGAUGAAAUCGCGUAGGUAGUAAACCAUCUCAAAGUUGGGUUUCCAAUCAAUCUUAUGAACCACCCCAAAGUGUCACGAAUAGUUCUAGAGAUUGUACUCCGACAACACCAUAUGAUACUAAUCAAUCAACUCUAAUGUCACCUACAUACUCCAAUGUCACCACGAGUAUCUGCGAGUGAGACAUGCAUCAGAUCUCAAAUCCAAAGUAUUCAAUCCGAUAACAGAGAAACCUCAAAGAGCAAUAUUUAGUUCACCACAAAAGAGAUAGAGGGGAAGAACCCCAUAUGAUAUAUUAACAAACUUCAUGGUACAUAAACAUCUCCUAUAAAGAUCACGAGAGAGGGAGAGAGAGAGAGAGAGAGACCAAACACAUAGAUACUGGUACAUACCCUCAGCCCCGAGGGUGAACUACUCCCUCCUCGUCAUGGAGGCAACAAGGAUGAUGAAUAUGGCCUCUGUGAUGGAUUCCUCCUCCGGCGGAGCAGCGGGAAAGGCCUCCAAAUGAGAUCACUUUGGAACAGAGGCUUGCGGCGGCAGAGAAAAAGUUCUAGGUUACUUUUCGGACAUUUCUGGAUUUAUAGGAAUUUUUAGCAUUGGAUUCACGCUAGGGGGAGUCCCAAGGGUCCCACAACCUCAGGUGGCACGCCCGGGGGGCGUUCCCCUUGAGCUUGUGGGCCCCCUAGCACCUUCUGGUCCUUCCUCGAAGCUUCCUGGGUCCCUUCUUGUCCAUAAAAAAACACCGUAAAUUUUUAUCGCGUUUGGACUUCAUUUGGUAUGGUUUUUCUACGAAAUUAAGAAAAUGGUGCACAUAUUAUCUCACUAGUGAUAAUAUAGACUGAUCUAUGAGAAAUUGUACUAAAGUGUUUGAUUGACUAAGGNNNNNNNNNNNNNNNNNNNNNNNNNNNNNNNNNNNNNNNNNNNNNNNNNNNNNNNNNNNNNNNNNNNNNNNNNNNNNNNNNNNNNNNNNNNNNNNNNNNNUAGUAAUUAUGUUUCAAAAAAAAAUUCAAUUUUUUUUAUUUUUUAAACUAGUAAUGGCGCACCACAACUAGUAAUGGCGCACCCCUCCCACGGUGCGCCAUUAGUAAUUUGGCCCAAACAUCCCCCCAAAUGCACCCCCCGCUGGACCGCCUUUUCAGUUUGAAAAAAAAUAAAAGAAAAUGAUACGAAUGUCAAAAAAAUAAAAGAAAAUAAGAUUCCCAUGUGAUAUGUGGUCUAGUUGUUAGCAAAAUUUACAAACAUGAGUUUUCGACUUUUUUGCAAAAUCUCUCGAGAAUUUUUAAAAAUGGGCAUAACUUUUGCAUUCGAACUCGGAUGAAAAAGUUUUUUAUAUGAAAAAUCAUCUACUCGAAAAGUUACAUCCGAAUUUAUGCUGCCACUGAACCUUCAGGAAAUUGGCCUCUGCAACUAACACGUGCAAAUAUAUUAGCUACAUGCUACUACACACCGUCUCCGCAAGUAGUUGUAAUUUUCGGUCAGUUUUCACUUGUUUCCAUGUCUAUGGGACUCAAUACUUCGCCACAUGAACCGUACCAAUAAGGAGACACAUUUGACUGUUCCUCCCGAUAUGGCGCACACGUCCCUAGGAUGAAAAAGUCAUAAGUUUUUAAUUGCAAAAUACAAUCUUUUAGUGAAUUUCCCAAUAUGUGGAGAUAUCAACCUUAGGGGCCUGUUCGGUACUUCUCCAUGGCCUCAAAAUCCUGAACUCCACCACCAGCUUCCCAUCGCCAGCUUCUCAUGAGAGCGCCGCGAUCGAGCGAUCCAUUCGGCAGCACAGCUUCUUUCUCGCUAGCAUUGGCCUGGGCCAGCGGCCCAUAUGGGCCGGAUAUGGCCCGACUAGAGAGAAAAUCAGUAGGUGCUCGCUGUAUGUAUCGCACGUGAAAUAAGGCUCGAACCGGUACGUUCACUUGGCGGUGGCAUCAACAGGUAAUUUUGACCAAACUCCAACUCCUGAAGAACCUGGGAGCCCGGAAUGACCAGCUCCGUGACUCCACGAAAAAGGCACUGCGCUCCGCGCCGGCUUCUGUAACUGAACUCUAGGAAUUGACACGUUCGGUUGGACUCCACGCGCGGAUUCGAGGAUUUGAGAAGCCAGACCACUACCGAACACACCCUAGGUUUUACUAUCAAAGGACUACCAUGCCAUAUGAUUCCACACCAUCGGUCAAAUUACAAAUGACGGCAUGAGCACCAUACCAAAUGUAAAACUUUUCGCAGCCAAUGGUUGCCUUCAACAAGGAGGGUACCGGAUGUUAUAUCUACGUCAUAGGUAUUUUGCAAUUUGAGAAGGGGCUUGGUUCCUCAACACUAAUGGGGUACAUUGCUAUCCACAAUAUGCGAUCCGUACCAAUUGAUAAAUUUGUCGUUACGAUCCAUUGGUUUAACAUUUCUAUCGUCAUAGUAAAUUCUGAUUACAUGCAUGCAUCAUUUUGUAAAAAAAUUCCAUCUAUUAGUCGAUGGCAUGGCAACUGAGUGACGUAACUUGAUUACGGAGGCUUCAUAAGAACGAAUAUCACUCGCUUGUCCGUGUGCCUAAUAAAUUGGAAAGGAUAGAGUACGUCAUAAAUAAAAUGAGGGAUGGGCGUACUGAAACUAUACUCGUCUCAACUACUUAAUUAAUUGGAAAAUUUUGGUUUGUGUCAUUAUCGAAUUGAGACUUUCGAAGGCUGCCACUGAAACUUCAUUAAAUUGGCCUCUGCAACUAGCAGCUGGGAAGUUAUUCGCCACAUGCCGCUAGACACUUUCUUCCCAAGCAUCGGUCAUGUUGUCAUCAGCUUUCGGUUGUUCCUCGAUUCUCGAACCUACAACUUCGCCACAUCGACCGCACCAACGAGUGGUCAAAGACCCCACCAAAAAAAGAGAAAGAAAUAUAAUAAAAGAGAGAGAAGGAGAGAGAGGAGGCACACAAAUAUGCUUUAUAGAUACUUAUACUUCAAAGUAGCACCAUGUAUUUCAUAGAUAGAGUUUUUAUAUUAUCCAUUUCAUAUGCUACACUACUACAAAAACAGCUAUAGCCAAUAUGGACACUAAUGGCGCACUGUACAUGUGGUGCGCCAUUACUANNNNNNNNNNNNNNNNNNNNNNNNNNNNNNNNNNNNNNNNNNNNNNNNNNNNNNNNNNNNNNNNNNNNNNNNNNNNNNNNNNNNNNNNNNNNNNNNNNNNUAGAAAAAUUGGGUUAAUAAAAUAUUCAAGUUUGAAUCGUGACAUUGCUGAUUGAAAAAUUAUUCGUAAAUUUCCAAAAAUAUGAUUAUAUAAAAAUGUUCAAGAAUUCAAAAAAUUGUAUGUGAGAUUUUUUUUACAAAUUCUGAAAUACUCAUGAAUUCAGAAAGUGUUUCCGAAUUUAAAAAUAUUUGUGAAUUUAAAAAUAUUUGUGAAUUUAAAAAUAUUUGCAAAUUUGAGCAAUAUUUGUAGACUUGAAAACAUGAAUUGUAAAAAAUUAUGAACAAAAAGAAAAAUGGAAAAAGAAAAGAAAACUAAAAUAAACUGAAUAAGCAGUGAAAAUAGAAGAAAAAAUAUAAAAAUCCUUCAGGAAUAUUUUCAAACUGUGUGAAAGAUUCUAGAAGCCUCAUGAAACCGUCAUCCUUAAAAAAAACAGAAAAUACUGCUAGCAAUACCCAAUAAAACCCGCUAAGGAAAGUGUGUGUAGCCAGUGCUACUGGGGUGGCCCACGUUGAAGCGAUUGUGAGGGAUUCACUUGUAGAGGUCACUACAUGCAAUAUAUCUCAGUUGCCUCCAUGUACCCUAAACUUAAGAUUUUAUCACAAUUUCCAUUGUUGCCCAUUAACUCCACAUGCCAAGUUAACCAAUCCCUUUAUUUCUUGAAAAUCAAUGUUUGCUUCUUCUCGAUCUUAGGCUUUGUCCCUAACAUCCCGCGGUAAUUGUUAAACACCAUCGCUCACCAAUCAUAAACGUCACUGUAUACCAUCGCACACCAAUCAUAAACGCCACCGUGUACCGACAACAAUGUGUCCUCGCCCUUGUGGUCUCUACACAGAUCUGUGCACAACGUCGUCAACUUGCUUAUUAGACUUACGUUAUAAUAGUGGUAUUAACCAAAAAUUCGAAGGAGUGCAUGUCCUCACCUGAUCAUGGUAUCCUACACCGUACACGCCACCAAGAUCUGACACGCCAAACGCUCGUGGGACAUAGUACGCUGCUGUAAUGCAUUUAUUGGCCCAUCAAGCGUUGUAACGUCAUCAGGUUGCUAGAGAACUUCACGUCCAGCUCUGUCAUGUGGCCGCGGCCAAGUCAUAGCCUCAGGAGAGUGUAGCUAUGUACUUCCACGGUAUGGGAACACUUUUUCUACAAGAAUAUUCAUGUAUAAUAGAAAAAAAGGUCCUUAUACACAUGUUCAUAAUAUUAGUCGUGUAUUGGAAAAUUCAUCAAAUAUUUUAUUUUUUUAAACGAGGUUUCUUAGGGCUCGAUUCGUUAAAAAGUAGAAGAGAGUUGUCUGAUUAAUUAACGGAAACCCGGGUGAAAACCGUCACAACAAGCCAACAACAUGGCACCAUAAACACACGCCGACCCCGAGGCCACACACCAGGCGAACCGUUGACUUCGUCACUCUAGCAACCCUUAGCCGACACCCUAAAACAAAAACUAAAGCGGCUGCUCCGGCAUUCAAGCCGACCCGAGGCCGCGCACCAGGCGAGCCACCUACUCUGCCGCCCGGGAAACCGAAGCUGACACCCGACAACCAUCUCUGGAGUCCCCGCUCUGACGUACACAUGAAAACCCCACACACUGACCCCGAGGCCCCACACCAGGCGAGCCACCAGCUUCAUCACCCGAGCAACCGCAGUCGACACUCGAGGCUGCUCUGCUCGCCCACGCCAACUCUACCUAGGGGACUAGAGCCGCCUCACCAGACCCACGCACCCAGCCGCGCCACCCGGCCAGCAGAGCAACAGGAGAGCGUCCUCGCAAAAAAAAACCUCACGAAAAAAAGAGCCAUAGGAGAGCGCCCAGCCCGUUGCGUGUAUGCGCCUCCCAGCACACACACUCCCAUGCCGCACCGUCCACCAUUUGACCCCCAACCACGCUGCUCGCAGCUCAACCAAGGAACCGUUGCGGAUGCUGCAUGCAGUAGCUCAUCUUGCACGGCUCCCGCUUAGGUGAAGCCAUGCCGGAUCCAACCUAGGAUGACCAGAUCCGGCCGCCAUGCAUCUCCACCGUCCCUCAGCAGCGGGAUGUUCAUCGUGUACUUGAAAAUAUAUUCAUCAUAUAUUUUAAAAAUAUUCAUCNNNNNNNNNNNNNNNNNNNNNNNNNNNNNNNNNNNNNNNNNNNNNNNNNNNNNNNNNNNNNNNNNNNNNNNNNNNNNNNNNNNNNNNNNNNNNNNNNNNNGUAGACACUGCAUUACAACCACCAUGAGCAACGACACUGCCACCUUACUCGGACUCCUCGUUCACGUGCUCGACUUCGUCCUUGUCCCUCUUCCUCUUGGCCGAUACUUCUUUGCUAGAACCACACACUUGGAUCUUGCUCUUCAUCCAACCCUUGUAGAUACUGAAACAAAGGUAGGCAUCCAUCACAACGUAGUGGAUGUGGUCUAUAUCUAGUACAUUCCACUGCCAUGCAUGACAAUGAAACUUGGGUGGAGGUUUCUUCAGUUUAUCGUAUGAAGGAUGAACCAUGGCUCCUGCUAGGGUCAGCAUUGAAGGCUGACAGGAGGACACCAGAACAUUCCUAUAGAGGUCUAAGGGCUCGCCUACAAUGAGUCCUAUCCGACCCAGGACUUCUUUGUCAUUCAUAAAGUCUACAGUAACGAAUUUGACUAUGCCGCCCCUGAGGAAGUUCCUAAAUUCUUUGCACUCAACAUCGGCAUGGCAUAUGUGGUAGACCAAGCACAAAUUAUGCACGCAAACCUGGAUCACGACGAGAUUCUUCUUCUCUUCCUCCUUUAGAUUCUUCUCUUUGUCCCGGAUUGUGGUGUACUCAGAAUUUAGCCCAGCGACCCACUUUGCCUUUGAGUUUUCGAACAUGCGUCUGAAGCGAGCAAGGCAUCCUUUCACGGUCGCAGAAGAAGGGGUGUAGAUGAUGUCGAACUCAUCGCCGCUCAUGGUUCUAACCUUGUACUCAUCGCCGAUCAUGGAGAUUUGGGAGGAGGGUUAGGAUUAGUCGAGCUGCUGUAAUGUGAAAGGACGGGACGACUAGGAGCGAACUGUCGUAAUGUCAAAGGACGGCCGGGGACGAGUAGGAGCGAACCGCUAGCAGUUUUCCAAUUGUAAAAAUGCUGAGUGGGGCGUGCGAAUGGUAGGGCUUUCCAUGCUCCCAUGAUACGGGCUUCCGAGAGCCCUUAGAUCUUUGAUUGAAUGGUUGCAUGGCGUGAUUCUUCACCUAUGGGUGAAUAUCCUAUCCUAGAGGGUUAUUCUGCAAAUUUUUAGCAACUUAGCAUGCGACCGUUCGAUCUCAGAUCCAAGGGCUGUCAGCAGCCCGUAUCAUGGUCGCGCCUACCACGACAGUCGCCUCGCUCGCAUUGUCGCGCCCUUGGAGAUUUCAGACGGCUAUAAAUGAGCAUUUUUUGCCUACUUCGCAUGCAUGAAACUACUUCCUCCGUCCAGGUGCGUUAGGCUAUCUAAUGUUGGCAUGUCAUACAUAGUCAUCACUUAGUCACUCAUACAACAAGAUUAGCUAUAAGGUUGGCUAUAAGAGUAUUUUUUUUUACUUCUCUCUAUCUCUUUCUUCGUACUCCCUUCAUUUCAGUUUACAAGUCCUGCGCGUAUACUUAGGUUGUCAACUUUAUCACCGUAAUAUAAACUAUAUAACACAAAAAUUAUACCAUUUGAAAAUAGAAUGUCUGAAGUUUAUAAUGGUAUGUUUGUUGUAAUAGUGUAUAUGACUUCUAUUAGGUUGGUCAAAUUGACGACCUAGGGGUACGCGCACGCCUUGUAAACUGAGAGAGAGUAGUAUUUAUUGUGUUUGCCAAAAGGAGUAUACAGUACUUGGCACCUGUAUACCAUGGAGGUGGUCAGGAAACAGGAGACUCACGUCGGUCGUAGUGCCACAAUUAAAAUGUAAUGACAGGUCAAAUCACAGGUUCCACCUAUCCAGCAGUAACUCGCCGUCAAAUCACACAACCCUACAUUUGCAGCAGCCUACUCCCUCAUCUUCUCGCCUCUCUGUCAAACCAACUAGGCGGAACUGCCCCACCUACCGCACGGGAAAAGACCCGCCCUUGACUUUUAAAUAUAAUUUUGUAUCCAUGGAUUGCGCCAUGGAGCAAAGCCUCAAGAAAAUGACGGUACACAUGUAUACAACACGCCCGUUGCAUUCGCGUCGCACCCCAAACGGUCGGUCGGUCUGGCAUGCAAUUCUCCGAUAAUAUGUAUCCAUGUUAUACAUUGCAAAAAUAAUAUAAUUUGAAAGUACAUUCAGAUACGAACCAAAUGAUACAAUUUUUGGUGACAUGUAUUCACAUUUUGCUUNNNNNNNNNNNNNNNNNNNNNNNNNNNNNNNNNNNNNNNNNNNNNNNNNNNNNNNNNNNNNNNNNNNNNNNNNNNNNNNNNNNNNNNNNNNNNNNNNNNNAAGCAGUGCUCAAUACAAAUCCACCAUGAAGACCUUUCUCAUCCUUGCCCUCCUUGCUAUUGUAGCAACCACCGCCACAAUUGCAGUUAGAGUUCCAGUGCCACAAUUGCAGCCACAAAAUCCAUCUCAGCAACAACCACAAGAGCAAGUUCCAUUGGUACAACAACAACAAUUUCCAGGGCAGCAACAACCAUUUCCACCACAACAGCCAUAUCCGCAGCCGCAACCAUUUCCAUCACAACAACCAUAUCUGCAGCUGCAACCAUUUCCGCAGCCGCAACUACCAUAUCCGCAGCCGCAACUACCAUAUCCGCAGCCGCAACUACCAUAUCCGCAGCCGCAACCAUUUCGACCACAACAACCAUAUCCACAAUCGCAACCACAGUAUUCGCAACCACAACAACCAAUUUCGCAGCAGCAGCAGCAACAACAACAACAACAACAAAAACAACAACAACAACAACAACAACAACAGAUCCUUCAACAAAUUUUGCAACAACAACUGAUUCCAUGCAGGGAUGUUGUAUUGCAACAACACAGCAUAGCGUAUGGAAGCUCACAAGUUUUGCAACAAAGUACUUACCAGCUGGUGCAACAAUUGUGUUGUCAGCAGCUGUGGCAGAUCCCCGAGCAGUCGCGGUGCCAAGCCAUCCACAAUGUUGUUCAUGCUAUUAUUCUGCAUCAACAGCAACAACAACAACAACAACAACAACAAAAACAACCAUUGAGCCAGGUCUCCUUCCAACAGCCUCAACAACAAUAUCCAUCAGGCCAGGGCUCCUUCCAGCCAUCUCAGCAAAACCCACAGGCCCAGGGCUCUGUCCAGCCUCAACAACUGCCCCAGUUUGAGGAAAUAAGGAACCUAGCGCUAGAGACGCUACCUGCAAUGUGCAAUGUCUAUAUCCCUCCAUAUUGCACCAUUGCUC
rnacentral:lncRNA from 1 species